rnacentral:lncRNA from 1 species
CUGCUAGAGUUCCUUGUGGGCCAAGGUCGCCUCUCUAUUAUAGAAAUAAUUAUUCUUACAUGAUGAAACAUGGAUUUCCAAAAUACCACUCUUCCAUUAUGGAAAGAAACCUGUUGGGGCCUUCAAGAAUCAUGAACCCGCAUGCACCCGAGUUUGUGCCAAUGAGAGGUUGGCAAAUAAAUCCUGGAUAUGCAGAUUCAAAUGUUUCAAAUGAGUCGAACUCUUCAAACGACACAAGUGAGGCAGACGAUGAGAAACUUGACAAAAUGUCCAGUAUUCAAGGCGAGGAUAAUACCUCAAGAAAGAGCAGUACAGAGGCGGAGAAUUCAGAGCUGGCAAGACAGAUACUACUUAGCUUCAUUGUAAAGUCAGUCCAGCAUAAUAUGGAUGCUCCAAGUCAUUCUUCAGGCUACGAAAAGAAGAUUGGGUAUUCAGAAAAUUCUUCAGAUGCAAUUGCAAAUGAUAGUGCUAUCAUAAAGAUCCUUUAUGGAAAUGAAAAGGGCAAAACAAACUUGGCAUCUCAGUCCAAUGAUCAAGAACAGCAAAAACCCAAAGAUGAAAACCAAAAAAGUGGGGAUGGUGAAGGAUUUAUAGUUGUCAGAAAACGGAGAAGAAACCGACAGCAGAUCACAAAUGGGGUCACUGAGAUGUACAAUCAUCAAUCCAUCUGUGCUUCUGUUCGUUAAAAGAGAGCAAAGCAAUAAAAUGCAAAGGUGCCGUCCUGUUUCUCCCAAUUUUAUUCGAAAAAUUUGUUAGUGAAUGUUGCUGUUGUAGAGAUGGUUAAAGUUUGGAGCAAGUUUUAAUCAAUACUUGAUUGUAUCAUUUUAGAUAUCCUCUCUGGAUGUUCUAAUAAAAUAUUUGUACAAAUCGGUUUCUUGUUUUGUUAAGAGAUUUUGUUUUGAUCAAUAAAUGAUGAUAAAUUAAUUGGGCGAUUUUCCUCAUCAAGAGAUCUGUGAUGUUGUUCUAUAAUGGAUUUUAAUGUUUUAGACUGAGAUUUGUAGUUAUGCCUCAAAUUAUUUGGUAUUUGGUUGGUGCGUGUGAACAAUACGUUCGGAAUGGAGUUGAAUUGACCCACUGAUAGAUAGCUUACAUUUGCAGCUGAAGUUGCUGCAUUGAUGAUAUUACAACUAACAUAGUAGUUGGCAAAAUUCCUUAUUCAAUUUAAAUUUGCAAUCAACAGAAACUGAAGAAGAAGCCGUAAGUUUAAUCCUAAUGGAUGCAUAGCUGUUUGGAGAAAAGCCAACGGAGACAUAACACAGCACGAUAAGUUAUACACGGCAGAACCGUAUGUGCUAGUAAGCACAGUCACCGAUGGAAAACAUAUUUGAAAAGCCAAUAGUAGCAUGUGUCAAUACAUCUAUCAAUGAAAUAGAACCACAGUCUGCGCCAGUACGAGUUUAUCCAAAGUGCUGCAAAUAAACCCAAAAUUACUGACACAUAGGAUGCUCCAAAACUCCAUCUUAAUGCCACCAUAUCAAUCACAGAAUCGCCUUCAUCUUCUCCUCCUCCUGUAGGUGUCGCUGGUGGUGCCAACGCACUGCUGCAUUUCCUCUUUAUCAUUGAGCCACAAAGAGCCGAAUUACCUUUAUAACUGCUGUCAUCAAAGGUGGCAAACUGCUCUUUGUCUGGGAUUGGGCCGGACAAAUUGUUGUAUGACACGUUGAAGUUUGAUAAAAAGUUGAGAUCAGUUAGUUGAGGAGGAAUUCGGCCACUUAAUUUGUUGCGGGAAAGGUCCAGGCUCUCUAUCAUUUUCAGAUUGGAGAAGCUCUCUGGUAUAGCACCUGAUAGUAAAUUAUUCGACAGAUUAAGUGCACGAAUAUGUUGAAGAUGCCCAAUUUCCCAUGGAAUUUCUCCACUGAACUCAUUGCUCGACAAAUCCAGUCCAGCCAUGUCGACGAGACUGCGACCGAUGAAAAAUUCAUAUCUAUACUUUGUCACAAAUUCUACACCUACUUGUCUAGCAUGUCGUUCACCUUGCGGCGGCUGAUCAAGAGUGGAAUUGUAGAAAGUAAAACUGAGAUCACGAGUUGACACAGCAAAUCCGGGUAUAAUAUUUGGAUAUAUCACUUCAUAUCUGUUUACAUGUGGAUAAUCAUCAAUCGCUUCUCUCCAGAAUGACACGUUACCCAAGCAUGAAGGUAUCGGCCCAUUAAGUCUGUUAUGUGAAAGAUCCAUGAUACCUAAUUUUCUUAAUAGGCACAACUGAUUAGGAAUACGUCCUUGUAGAGAAUUCCCUCUCAAAAGAAGAAAAUGCAAAUUCGAAAGCUCGUUGAUCUGAUGAGGAAUCCUACCAAAAAGCUUAUUGUCCCUCAAAUCUAGAGUCAAUAAUGUAGAGCUUCUAAGCAAUGCAAUUGGAAUUAACCCAUUAAUUGCAUUGUUAUGCAGAUAAAUGUGCUCCACUGAUGAAAGAUUGGAGAGAGAUACCGUGGACCCAGACAAACUAUUUUCGGAGAUGUCUAUAAACUCAAGACCUUCAAGAUUGCCGAGCUGGACCGGAAUAGUACCUUGCAAAUAAUUUUUUGACAUUAAAAGAACCCGAAGGCCUGAGAAGUUGCCAAUCCAGUGGGGAAUAUCGCUGGAUAACUUGUUGUUGGAUACAUCUAAUACCCCCAGCAAAGGGGAGUUCAACAAACCAUCUGUCAUCUUCCCACUGAAAUGAUUGUUGUCCAAAAGUAAGGAACGCAAAUGAGUCAAGUUCAUAAAAUUGGGAAAAAGUUGGCCAUAGAAAUUGUUAUUUGAUAGGUCCAACAUUUCUAAGGAGAGGCAACUAGAGAAUAUAGAUCGAGGUAAUUCUCCUGAAAAAUUAUUUCUAGAAAAAUCCAAAGUAAUUAGCUCUUUCAUCUCACUGAUUGAAUAAGGAAUAUUACCUUCAAAACUAUUUUUUGACAUAUCCAAAUAUAUCAAUUUCUGAAAGAUAAUACCCAAAUUCUCUGGUAGCUUACCAGAAAAAUUGUUACUGGAAAUAUCUAGAUAACGAAGCUUAUCGUAUUUGGCGUUGGGAAGUCGCGGAAGAAUUCCUGAGAAUGAGUUAUUCCACAAAAUCAAAACUUCUAAUCCUGUGUUGUUUUGCAACAACCAAGUUGGGAAAUUGCCAACCAACUGAUUGUGAGAGAGAUCAAGGAAUUUUAAGUUGUAUUGGUGUAAAAGAAAACUGGGAUUGACAUUUAAGUGGCAGUGAGAUAAUUGGAGAACCUUGAGAGGAUAUGUGGGGAGCCAGUUUUCGGUUUUCACUUGCAACAUAUCGUUUCCUGACGAGAGUCGCAAGACCUCAAGCUUUGAAUGAUUAGCCAAUGAAUUUAUUGAGAAUGUUCCUUGGAAAUCGAUGAAAGAGAGAUCCAAAUAUUCAAGUGAUGUGAGGUUGGUCAAGGCAGAAGGAAAGUUUCCACUUAACUGAUUGUAAGAAAUAUCAAGAACUUUGAGAUGGGUCAAGUUGUUGAGGCACUGAGGAAGGUGAACCACAAAAUUAUUUGACUUUAAAUCCAACUCAAGAAGAUUCUUCAAAUUACAUAUUCCUGAAAGUGAAAAUAAAAAGCUCAGAUUUCAUAAAACGAAAACUAAUUAUAGCGCAUUCAAUCAUAAACCCAAUAUAAGACUUAUAAAACGGACAUGAAAUCAAAUUGUCUAAGUAUUUUGGUCAACAUAAAUAAUAAUAGAAUGAUAUGAAUUUAUUUCUCAUAUAAUAUGAUGUUGAUUGCAAAAGCGUUUCAAUUAAUCUAACAAAAUAAUAAUAAUAAUAAUAUAAAAGCAGUCAGCAAUUCUUGCUCAUCAUAAUCCAUUCAAAAAGCGUUUCAGCAAUUCUCGUUGUUUAAAAUAAUGAUUUUCCGAGGAAGAGUUUGUUGACUUCGUCUUUUUCGUUGGAUAUUCGUUCUCUAAUCUCUAAAUUUGUUGGAUAAUGUAAAGAGAAACUCAUAAUAUAUUAGUUGCUUUCUUAAACUUUAUUUAUUCCUCUCAUAGCAUUAAACAAAACUAUUUGCCCUAGCAGAAAAAAAAAAAAAAAACUGGUCUUUAUAUUUAAUUUGGUGAAAGUACUUUGACCAACAAGUCACUGGGAAGUAGGAAUUGUGCAUCAGUAAUGCAAAUAUUGGGUGCGUUGGCAUUGUUUUUAUAUGCUGUUUUUUAUUUUUUGAUUUUAGAAAAUAUUAGAUACGUGUUCGGUAGAUUGUUUCUGAAAAUAUUUUUAAAAAUAUAAAAUUCAUUCUACACAUUUUAACAAAAGAAAUGAGAAACAAUUUUUUCUUAUUUUCCUUAUUUCCCAAUACAAAAUUAAGUUCCAAAAUGAAGAAUUCUCUGUACCUCCUCCUGAAAUAAUAAUAAUAUCAACAUUAUUAUUAUUAUUAUCAUUAGGUCUAAUUAUCUCUGGGUGACAGAUGUUUUAAUAAAUUUCAAAAAGAUGACACAUGUUUUGAAAACACUCGAGUGGGUGACAUUCCAUUAACUUUUGUUGUUAAUUUUAACCAGUCGAGGGUAGAAUUGAAAAAAUAAUUUUUUUUUUCAUAAAGCCAAAGAGAUGAAAAUAUUGAAUUUAUACAAUACUUUAUAAUUCAUAAGAUUUUUGCUUCUUUAUAUUCACAAAUCAGUUUGAUCAACAAGAAUUUUUUUAAAAUUUAUUUGAUUUAACAAAAAAAACUUGUUAAUUAGACUUAUGUUUAAUUUUUUUUUAUAUUUUCUAUUUAAAAAAUUAAAAAUGAGUGAGUAUGGGCAGAAACAUCAUUUUGUGGGGUAGAAACGUCAUUUAAUUUACUAUUCCCAUUAAAAUUAAUGACAAAAGUUAAUAGAAUGUCACUCGCUCGAAUAUUUUUAAAAAAUGUCAUCUUCUUAAAAUUUGUUAAAACAUAUGUCACCUAUUUGUUAAACAUAUGUCACCUAGAGAUUAUUAUUCUUAUUGUUGUUGUUGUUGUUGUUGUUGUACCCAAAGACUCAAUUUCCUUCACAAAAAUCUUUUCUUUUUAUAUACAUUAUAAUAUUUAUGUUUUUAUAUAUUAACUAAAUCAAAUAUGUAGGGUUUCUCAUUUUUCUUUGAACAAAAAAAUAGAAGGAUCACCUAAUUUAUUCUUAAAAUUAAAAUAAUCAAUAUACAUUGCUUAAUCUUAAGUUUAUGGAAAUUAUUCCAAUAAUAAUUCUUUGAGAUAUUCUUACCAAACAUAUUUAUGUUUUUCUCAUUUUUCAGAUUAUUUUUGAAAAUGAUACUGAACACAUUUUUAAAUUUUAAAAAUAAAUUUCAAAAUAGCAUUUUCAUUUUUAUUUUGUAAAAACAACAAUUAGAAAACAAUAUUGGGCUAUUAUUUAUCAUGUUUCAACAUAAAAACACAGUGUAAAUUGUUUAAUAUGGGUUUCUAGAGAAUUUUUUAUGUUACUAUUACUCAAAUUCAAUGCUUCCAAGCUUUUGAAUUUAGCUAAUCUUGCAUCAAGAAUUAAUGAACAUAAGAAAAAAAAAUUUCAUUCAGAACUAUAAAUAUUGAAAUAAAGAUAGAUAUCAUUGUUGAUCUUUUUAUAAAAAUGAUUUAGAAUUAAGAGAGAGUGAAAGAAAUGAGCGGGUUAUGUCGGAAAUUGGUGAUAGAGUAUAUCAAGUACUACACUUUGUAUAGAAAGCAGUGCUUCUAAUUUAAAUUUGAUCUAGUUUAAAGCAAUUAAAAAAUGGAAAUAUAUUAUCAUCUUGAUUAACAUCUAAAACAAUUUUAUCAUUGGAGGAAGUGAAUUGUUAUAUACCUUGAAUUGUAGUUAUCCCACAAUAACCAAGACCCAAUGUUUUCAAGUUUGGCAAAUCUGCGAAUCCUACAUGCGUCGAUAAAAAAUGAAAAUAUUACAUUUAAAGGCAUUGUAUGUGAUCCGCGUGUUUGAUGAACGUUAACUCUACAUUUAAUUUGCUUCUUAUCUCAAAUUCAGUGGCCUACCUAGCGUUGUCAGAUUUUGAUUAUCGCUUAAAUACAACACUUGCAGGUUUGUCAAAUUUGCUAAUCCUGCUAAAAAAAACAUAAAUUUUGUCAAUAACAGAUAUGUCACUCUCGUCUAAAUUGUUUAGUUAAAAUAAUAUGGUAAAUAUUGAAUGAAAAUUAACUGUGCACAUUGUUAUUUUUUUGUUUCUAUGGAUAUUUUAAUAUAUACCGUCACUUUUAGCAUUACCAAGAUUUGGAGUGUUUGAAUCAUAAUUUGUAAAUUAGUUUGCACUUUGAGUAAACUUGAAAAUGUGAAAAAAGCAAUUAAAAAAAAUGCAAAUAUAUUAUCAUCUUGAUUAACAUCUAAAACAAUUUUUGUCAUUGGAGGAAGUGAAUUGUUAUAUACCUUGAAUUGUAGUUAUCCCACAAGAACCAAGAUCCAAUGUUUUCAAGUUUGGCAAAUCUGCUAAUCCUACAUGCACCGAUAAAAAAUGAAAAUAUUACAUUUAAAGGCAUUAUAUGUGAUCCAUGCGUUUGAUGAACAUUAAUUCUACAUUUAAUUUGCUUCUUAUCUCAGAUUCAGUGGCCUACCUAGCGUUGUCAGAUUUUGAUUACCGCUUAAAUACAACACUUGCAGGUUUGUCAAAUUUGCUAAUCCUGUUAAAAAAAGGUAAAUUUUGUCAAUAACAGUUAUGUCACUCUCGUCCAAAUUGUUUAAUUAAAACAAUAUGGUAAAUAUUGAAUGAAAAUUAACUGUGCACAUUGUUAUUGUUUUUGUUUCUAUUGAUAUUUUAAUAUAUACAGUCACUUUUAGCAUUACCAAGAUUUGGAGUGUUUGAAUCAUAAUUUGUAAAUUAGUUUGCACUUGGAGUAAACUUGAAAAUGUGAAAAAAGCAAUUAAAAAAAUGCAAAUAUAUUAUCAUCUUGAUUAACAUCUAAAACAAUUUUUGUCAUUGGAGGAAGUGAAUUGUUAUAUACCUUGAAUUGUAGUUAUCCCAUAAGAACCAAGAUCCAAUGUUUUCAAGUUUGGCAAAUCUGCGAAUCCUACAUGCGCCGAUAAAAAAUGAAAAUAUUACAUUUAAAGGCAUUGUAUGUGAUCCGCGCGUUUGAUGAACAUUAAUUCUACAUUUAAUUUGCUUCUUAUCUCAGGUUCAGUGGCCUACCUAGUGUUGUCAGAUUUUGAUUACCGCUUAAAUACAACACUUGCAAGUUUGUCAAAUUUGCUAAUCCUGUUAAAAAAAGGUAAAUUUUGUCAAUAACAGUUAUGUCACUCUCGUCUAAAUUGUUUAAUUAAAAUAAUAUGGUAAAUAUUGAAUGAAAAUUAACCGUGCACAUUGUUAUUUUUUUGUUUCUAUGGAUAUUUUAAUAUAUACCGUCACUUUUAGCAUUACCAAGAUUUGGAGUGUUUGAAUCAUAAUUUGUAAAUUAGUUUGCACUUUGUGUAAACUUGAAAAUGUGAAAAAAGCAACUAAAAAAAAUGCAAAUAUAUUAUCAUCUUGAUUAACAUCUAAAACAAUUUUUGUCAUUGGAGGAAGUGAAUUGUUAUAUACCUUGAAUUGUAGUUAUCCCACAAGAACCAAGAUCCAAUGUUUUCAAGUUUGGCAAAUCUGCGAAUCCUACAUGCGUCGAUAAAAAAUGAAAAUAUUACAUUUAAAGGCAUUGUAUGUGAUCCGCGCAUUUGAUGAACAUUAAUUCUACAUUUAAUUUGCUUCUUAUCUCAGAUUCAGUGGCCUACCUAGCGUUGUCAGAUUUUGAUUAUCGCUUAAAUACAACACUUGCAGGUUUGUCAAAUUUGCUAAUCCUGUUAAAAAAAACAUAAAUUUUGUCAAUAACAGAUAUGUCACUCUUGUCUAAAUUGUUUAAUUAAAAUAAUAUGGUAAAUAUUGAAUGAAAAUUAAUUGUGCACAUUGUUUAAUUAAAAAAAUUAUUGUCUAAAGAACCGUGUAUAUAAUAAUUAGAACUCAAAUCCAACGCUUCCAAGUUUUUUAAUUUAGCUAAUCUUGCGCCAAGAAAGAAGAAAAAUCUUAGUAAUCGUCUUUGGGAAAAAAAUAAAGAAUUAAGAAAUUAGAUUAAAUAAUUGUAGUAAUAAAGCAUAUGACUCAGAUCUAAUUAAAUUGAUCAUAUACUCAAAAAUGAUUUUUUUUUAAAUUUUACUAAGAAAUUAGAAAGUAAUUUUUUGCCGUAUACCAAUUGUAGUCAAGUUUGUCAAGUUUUCCAGUCAAAAAUUGGUUUUAAUUUGACAUUAUACAUGUGUAAAAAUUAAGGGCAUAAUAAUAUCACAAGGAAUUUGGGUAGUGACUUGUUGCCGUGUGCUGACUUGGUAAUUAUCUCAGUAGCCUACCUAGCCUUGUUAAAGAGCCACUAGUUAUAUUGAAGUUCAAGCUUAGAUCCAACACUUGCAAGUAUCUCAAAUUUGCUAAUCCUGCUCAGAAAACAUUAAUUUUGAUCAAGACAAUAUAAAUAUACAUUUUAAUUAAGAAAUUAAUUAAGUUGCCUGAUAUGUAUAUCUGCUGGCCUGAAACGUAUAUGUAUACCUUGCUUGGUUCUGGAACCUUCAAUGGAAUUGGAAUUAAGAAUCAAAGUGGUAAGUGAAGUUAGUGUAUUCAAAUAUGGUAAUAUGCUGUCGUUGAAGAAAUUAAGACCAAGAUUUAACAUCUUCAGCUGCUUCAAACUCCCAAAGCUAUCGUAAGCUGCAAAUGCAUAUGAAGUGUUAUUAUUAAUUAGUCACUGACAAAAUAUUUAUGGACAAGAAAUAAAUGUAUACAUAUAUACGGACCUCUAUUCUCAUAGAUGCCUGCAAACCCAUUCCCAGAUAAGUCAAGACUUUGCAGUUCUUCAAAAGGAUGAAACAAUGACAUAUUCAGAACCAAAACUCCCUCCCAAUAAACAGAGUUAUUGAUCAGAAGCGAAGCCGAAGUACUAUCAAAAUAAUUCAAUCUGUGUGUAUGAUUGAGUGAGAGUUGCAUCACGCGUCGUGUGGUGGCGCUGCACUUAACUCCCUCCCAAUCAUCACAACAAUCAGACGGCAUUCCAUCAUCCUCACCAACCCAUGAAGGAAGAAUUUUGUCAUCAUAUCCAAUAUCACUGACUGAUGAUAUGAAGAAGCUCUUGAUUUCCAACAGAGCAGUCCUCUCUGUUUCCAAGCAUCCUUUGUAUCCAUGCAUUUCAUUCAUCAAUACAAUAAUCCAAAUUAGUGACAUUAAUGAGAACUUAAUACAGGAAGUACUUUCCAUUGCAGAGCAACUUUUCAUUUGGUUAAAAUUAAAUGUGCAAUGAGCAACUUUCCAUUGCAGAGCAAUUUAUACUAAAAGUUUAUCGCAGGUCUUGCAAUUUGAUUGGCUGAAGACUUUUUUAAGACUUUGAAGACUUGUAAGCAUUCCAUGUUUGGCAGCAUUCGACCAACGGGAAAAAGCACUUCAUUAAUACCCCGGGGAAAAUAUAGAUAAAGUGAUUAUAAACUAUAAAUUUUUCCAAUAGUUUGAUGGAGAUAAUCAUAACUAAUAAAAUAAAAGUUGACUGAGAGAAUUUAAAUAAUUUAACCGCAUGUUUGGAUUUCCAUUGCAUUAUCAGUCAAUCUAUUAAAUAAUGUGUUUUGAGAAGAAUUUGAUUGGAUGUUUGAUGAGUUUAAAUUAAUUUAUUAGAAAAUCAAUAAUUAAUCAACGUAAAUCUUCGUGUAUGUUUAGUUAGUGUGGCGUAGUCUGAAAUGACAAAACACAUAAAUGUUAUUUGAAGCUCUUGUGACCCUUUGUGUUCCUGCAUUCGGAUAAGGAAAGUUUCCAUUGCUCCAGUCUACACUCUUCACUACUAUUACAAUCACUUGAAAUGACAAAAACAGAAACUUCGUAUGAACAUGGGACCGAUGUACGGGUCCAAUUUAAAUGACCCUAGCUAAUUUUGCAUAUAUUAUUGCAACUACGUGGAAAAUUAAAGUUGACUGACUUUCAAAUUAAGCCAACAAACAAGUGGCCAUCAACUCUUUUCCCUCUAUGAUUGGUUUUUUUUUUUUUUUUAAAUUGAAUUGUAAGAUUGGGUUUGCAUUGAAUUAUCCAACAAUCUAUUCAAGCAUUGAUAUUUGAUAUUAUCAAAUAUUUAAUGGGUUUUGAAAAUUAUUUACUAGAUUUUUGAUAAAUUGAUUUUUAUUAUUUCAUGAUCAAUAAUUAAUCAAGUAAUUUUAUAUAUAUAUAUAUUUGGUAUUUGGUAAUUUACUCAUAAAAAGUGUGGAUCACAUUGAAAUGUUAUUUUAUAUGAUGCAUGACAUACGGAGAGGUGCAGUUUAAAUGCGCAAAUAAUUUAUUUAUUAUAACAUGCAAUCAUUGAGUUAAAGCGCAAGCGUGAGUUUGGAUUUGAAAUAUUCAAAUAAUUUAUUUCAUUAUUGAUUCUUAAAUAACAUGCUUUGGAAUUAAUAGUUCGAUAGGAUGUUUGAUAUAUUGAAAUUUGUGAUAAUCAAUAAUCAACUAAUUUUCAUUCAUAUUUAAAGAUUUUAAUAAAUUACUCAUAAAAUUGUGGCGUAUAUUGAAAUGACAAUCAAUCUUGAUAUUGACUGACAAUCAAUUUUUAUAGUGAUUGGCACUUAAGACAAUCAGUUUUGGUCUCCGUAAUGACUAAUGAAGAAUUGUAAGCCUGAAAUUCCACAUGUUGCAAUGUUGGACCAAUGAGGGAAAUGCUUCAUUAACAUUACAUGGAAAAUAAAUGUUGACUGACUUUCAAAUUAGGCCAACAUACAAGUAGUCGUCAAUUCUAUUUUUUCCAACAGUUGAUAAAGAUGGCAAGUUAAGAAAAAAAAAAGUUGAUUGAGAUAAUUUAAAGAAUUUAAGCGUAAGUUUGGGUUUGAAAUUAUCAAAUAAUUUAUUCCAGCAUUGAUUCUUAAAUAAUGUACUUUGGAAUUAAUAACUCAAUAGGAUGUUUGACAUAUUGAAAUUUGUGAAAAUCAAUAAUCAAUUAUUUUUCAUACAUGUUUAGACAUUUUAAUAAAUUACUCAUAAAUUUGUGGUGUACACCGAAAUAAUAAGUUAAUAAAUUGAAAUGAUAUCUAAAACUCUUGAGUCCCUUUGUAUCCUUGCAUUAAUUUGAAUUGAAGCUCGAAUUAAAAUCGAAGACCCAUAUUGAGAAUUUAUAUAAGUAACUUAAGAGUAUGAUUGGGUUUACAUUGACUUAUAUAUAUCAAACAAUAUAUUCAAGCGCUGAUAUUCUCAAAAAAAGAAAAAAAAAGACAAUCAAUCUUUGCGUCAACUGAUAUUAUUGAUUGGUAAUAAAUCUUAGUAGUGAUUGACAAAGCUUGGGAAAAUCACUCUCGGUGAUUAAUAGUCUUCGUCCUCAUCUUUGUUUUGAUCGUUGUGAUAGAGGAUGAGUGGUGCGUAAGAGAGGGUUCAUCGCUUGCGGAAUUUUCGCGGCCAUUCAAGAAUCAGGAUGGUUGUUGUAGAAUUCCACGAGAAUUGGCCUUGCAAUUAGGGAAAGUUCAAUAUUAAUUUAUACUAAAAGUUUAUCUUAGGCCAAUCACAAUGACCACCAAAACCUAUGAAUAAUUAGUCCAUCGAAACCCAAUGUAUGCUCAAUUAAUAUUUCCUAUCAAGAUCAAAUUUUUCGCUCUUCACCAAUCAUGAGCAUAAAAGCUCGAUUUAUACAAAAAUUAAGAAUUUAUGAAAAAAAGUCACAAUUAUUAUAAUUGGAAGUUUGAUUGAUUUUUAAAGAUUGAUUCAAUCAAUCUUAAUGUUACUGGACAAUCGAUCUUAAUAUUAAUUCAAAAUCAAUCUUUAUAGCAAUUGGCACAAAUAAAGAUAAUUAGUUUUGGUCUCUAUAAUGACUGACGAAGACUUGUAGGACCUGGACCAAUGAGGAAAAACGCUUCAUUAAUACUCCAUGGAAAAUAAAUGUUGACUGACUUUCAAAUUAAGCCAACAUACAAAUGGUCGUCAAUUCUAUUUUUUACAAAAAUUGAUGGAGAUAGUCAACUAAUAAAAUAAAAUUGAUUGAGAUAAUUUAAAGAAUUUAGGCAUAAGUUUGGGUUUUAAAUUAUCAAAUAAUUUAUUCCACUAUUGAUACUUAAAAAAAUGCUUUGGAAUUCAUAAUUCAAUAGGAUGUUUGAUAAAUUGGAAUUUGUGAAAAUCAAUAAUCAACUAUUUUCACAAUAAACUGAGAUUUUUUUUUUUUGAAAGCCAAUAGAAACAUGAAUUAUAGUACAUCCAUCGAUUGACGUAUAAUUAUAAUCAUAUAAUCAAACACGCACACUACAAGGCGACCUUCGAUUGACGUAUUCUGUCGACUAACCCAGGGACAUGGAGGAUGUUUUAACGUUAUAUAAAAAAAAAAUGAUGAAUAAUAUAGUUCCCGGCAGUGCUAAAAAAUGAUCAAUAAUCGGAUGAGGAAAUUUACGAAAGAUUUAUUAAAUGAUCAGAGACUUUCUGCAAUUUCAUUGACUUAUUCUACGAUAAUUAUAAUCAAACACGCACACUGCAAGGCGACCUUCGAUUGACGUACUCUGUCAACUAACCAAGGGACAGGGAGGAUGUGUGUUGACGUUAACCAAUAGCCAAGUUUAUAAACACAAUCAAGCAAUCAUAUGAUCAAUCAGAGCCACAUUCGACGCACGACUAGUAAAUAUCAUAAUUGAGUUUGAGGACCACAGCCUUACGGUGAAAGAAUUUGAAUGGAGAUCACUGCCAAAUCGUUUUUUGUCUGGGAUCAGACCAGACAAGUUCUUGUAUGACUCGUUAAAGUUGGAUAAAUAGUUGAUGAGUGAUCUGAAGAUCACUGAUAAGAAAUUUUGUCAUUUUUGUUUGGUAAAUUAUUCGUAAAAUUAUGGUCUACUCUGAAAUUACAAAAAUAAGCAUAAUUAAUUUGGAUAAAGGAAAAGCAAAGGAAAUUGAGAAGGAAACCAGAGGAAGGCUAAAGAAAAAUAAGCCGAUUCAUCAGUAACUCAAGAUCACAACUUUGGAUUUUUUUAGCAUCUGAAAUUUCAACAACUAUUCAAGUGAUGCGAGGUUGGUCAAGGUGGAAGGAAAGUUUCCACUUAAUUGAUUAUUAGAAAUAUCAAGAACUUUGAGAUUGGUCAAGUUGUUGAGACACUGAGGAAGGUGACCCUCAAAGUUAUUUGAGCUUAGAUCCAACUCAAAAAGAUUCUUAAAAUUACAUAGUCCUGAACUUGAAAAUAAAAGAUCAAAAUUUUAUAGAAUGAAAACUAAUUAUAGCAAAUUCGAUCAAAAUCCAGUACAAGACUUAAAAAACAGACAAAAAUCGAAUUGCCUAAUUAUUUUGGUCAGCACAAAUAAUAAUAGAGUAAUGUGAACUUAUUUCUCAUAUAAUAUGAUGUUGAUUGCAAAAGCGUUUCAAUAAUCUGGAAAAAGGGGAAAAAAAAAUAAGCCCUCAGCACUUUUUGUUUAUCAUAGCCCGGAGUCCUUCUUGUUUAACAUUAUGAUUUUCUGAGGAAGAAUUUGUUCACUUGAUGUUGUUCAUUGGACAAUGGUUCUGUAACCUCUAAACCUAUUGGAUAAUGUAAAGAGAAAUUCAUAAUAUUUUAGUUGUCUUCUUAAAUAAUAAAUUGUCUUAAAAUACAAUUAAUUUGUCUUAAAUUUAAUCUAUUUCUCAGUAUUUAAAGAAAAACAAAAAGAAAAAAAGAAAAAGAAAAACGAACUGGUCUUCAUAUAUAAUUUUGUCCAAGUACUUUGAUCAACAAAUCAUUAGGAAGGUGGUGUAUCAGUGAUGCAAAUAUUUAAUUAUCAUGUUUCAACAUAACAAUUCUGUGUAAAUUGUUCACUUUAUGUUUCUAGAGAACUGUUUAUAUUAUUAUUACUACUCAAAUUCAAUGCUUCCAAGUAUUUGAAUUUAAUUAGCUAAUCCUGUAUCAAGAAUUAAUUAAUGAACAUAAGAUAAAUGUCAUAUUAGUUAGAUUUAGAUUUUUUUUUCCAGUUUUGAUGUAUAGAUAAUGUUUUCAACUGGUUUUGGGGUAAGAAAAGCCAAACCAAUCUAGAACAAUAAAUUUGUUAUUUUGAGGGGAGAUGGGGUACCUCACUGGUUUAUUGUGUGUUGGGCGGUGUAUCUAAGAUUUUGGGGAGGUGAGAAAGGGAGAGAGAGUGGUAACAAUGGUGGAAGAUCAGAAACAAGAGAGGUAUCCUUCAAAAUGAGCUUCACGCCUGCAAAACAAUGAAAUAGAGGUUAGAGGUGAAGCCGGGGGUACCCCGGCGUUCACACUCCGACGCUCAAGUUAGCAAACUCAAGCUUUUAUUGCAAAGAGAGCUAGCUAGCCCUCUGUAAAUUAGGGUUUAAGGUUGAAGAAAACCUCUUUUUUGGAGUGUGAGUGUUUUUGGGCGAAUGAGAGCAUGAUGGAGAAUGAAACCUAGGCGCCUUUAUAUAUGGAGUACCUUAGCUGCCACGUGGCAUACCCUUUUUGGCUAACGUCCUUUUACCGCUUUUAUGAUUCUUGGGGCCGUUAUGUGCAUGUUCGCGGCGUAUCUCAUCUUUUGGAAACGUGGCGCGCGCUGGAGAGUGGUCCAGGGUACCUCUGCAGUAGCUGUCGGGUAGGCGGCUAGGGACCACUGUCCUUGGGACAGUGUCCUUCACUUUUGGCAGAGGUAGCAGACGGCUGUCCCUCCUUUUAGCACGUCGCUUUUGAUUCCUAAUUCUGACAAAAUCAAAUGAUAUCUUUUAGGAGGCGGAGACGUUUCUCAUGGCGGAUAUUUUCGGUGGAUUCUCUUGCAUCCGCUUUGCCGGGUACCUCGAAUUACAUGGGGUACCCCCUAUUACGCAGGGUACCCCUAUCUGUAUGGGAUACCUCUAUUUGUAUGGGGUACCUCUAUUUGUAUGGGGGUACCUCUAUUUGUGUGGGAUACCUCUAAUUGUGCAGGGUACCUCUAUUUAUACGGGGUACCUCAAGUCAUGUCGGGCACCUCGGAUUAUGUAGGGUACCUCCGAUUGUGCUGAUAUCAUUCCAUUGGCUGACACGUGGCGCUCUAUUACCUUUCCCAUCUUUCCCUCAAACAACAUCCCCCUAGUUUCUUUUUGGCGAGAAGUAUUGGAGGCAAAAGAAACUUAUUGUAUGAGUGACACGUGGCGAUGCGGCUGGAUCGGAGGGUACCUUGCUUAGCUUCUUCCCUUGACUAAACUUUGUGUACUUCAAACUAAAAAUCUUCUCUUUGUCUUUUCCUUUUCCCGCUUUUUUUUUUUUUUUUUUUACACGAUGAGAACGAACAGUUGUCUUCAUAUGUCUCUCUCCUUUUUCUUGGGAAGUGGCAGCCGUCUGACACGCAGUUUGAAUUUUGAAAAUACAAAUCUCACUCAAACAUCCUUGAACUCCUUUCUUGAGCAACGUGUUCUGUCAGGUUGAAUUUAAAACUCCUGACGUGUGUCAAAGUUUUGAAAAUCCCCAAACGAACUCCCAAAAAUUGAUUAUUUCCAGUAGCCUUUUUCUUCCAUAAUUUCGUCUCUUCUUCUAACUGGAUCAACAUUUCCAGUAGCCUUUUUUUUUUUUUUUUUUUUUUUUUUUUUUUUUUUUUUUAGCCUUGUUCAUCUUCCCUAGGCUUUACUCUCCCUUUACUCUUUUUCUUUUAUUUCUUUCCCAUUUUCUUUCUCCCUUUUCUUUCUCACGUUUCUCUUUCCUUUUUCUCUCUUUUCCUUCUUCCUUUUCUUUCUUUCUUCUUUCUCUUUCUCUCUCGGCCGGCGUUGAUCUGGUACGUUUUCCGGCGUGGAUCUCGGCUGCUGCAGUGGCGGUUUUGGGCUCCAGAUCUGGUCGGUUCAAGGCGAUUUCCGGCGGCUCACGGCGAGAUCUCAGUCCGGCGAUACACACGGUAACCCCUCCUUCAUCGUUUCUUUAUUUUUCCCUUGGUGCUUUCUCUCUUCCUUCCCUUUUCUUCUCUUUUUCGUUUCGGCUUGGUGUUUUUCUCUGUGAUUUCCGGCGUCGGUUUGGUGUGGUUGCAGCCGGCGUCGGUUCGGUGCUUGCAGCCACGACAGCCGGCGUCGGUUUGGUGGCUGCUGUCCCUUCUUCCGUGUUGUCUUCUCUGUUCUUCGUUUUCUUUUUUUUUUUUUUUUUUUUGGCUGGCGUCCUCCUUUGGCGGUUUCCGGCAUCCUUCUCGUGAUCUCCGGCGUCGGUUCUCGGUGGUUGCAGCCAUGACAUCUGACGCCGGUUGCUGCAGCUUCUUCGUUCUUCAUUUUAUUUAUUCAUUUAUUUAUAAAUAACUAUAUAUAUUUAAGCUUAUUUUUGUUUUUAUACUUGCAUAUUUUUACCCACUAUUUUUGGUUGCCUGCAGCUUCAUUUCGCCGCGAUUAUCAAUCCCGAUCUGUUGAAUUGGUGAAUCACAGGUAUCCCUCCUCGCUUCUCCUCCUUUGGCGCAUUCACAGUGGCGCUAUUUUGCAUACUCUGAGAAAAUUUUGUUUUUGGUUUUUGUUGUUUUUUUUUUUUUUGUUUUGUUGGUUGGUGUUUGCAUUUGGUGGUUGAUGUGUGGUGGAUGGUGCUUGGUAUGGAUAUAUUGCUGUUUGGAAAACAUGUGGCUUGUUGGAUGUGUUGUUGGGGGCUUGUGGAUAUGUUGUUGGGUGUAUCGUUGGGUGUAUUGUUGGGGAACUUGUGGAUGUGCUGUUAGGGGCUUGUGGAUGUGCUGUUGGGGAACUUGUGGGUGUGUUGUUGGGGAAAAGUAGAUGGGCAAAAAGCACACGGGACCCCCGAUGAAGCGACGUAAAGUUGGGGCUAGUAGGGUUGACAACCCUCCUGCGGGUUCCCCUUCCCACAUCUCCAUCAGCGAGGGGGAUCGGUCCCCUCCUAAUUCCUCUAUGAGUUGCAAUUCUCGUUCUGAGCCCCCUCCUCCUAGGAGUACCCCUCGUGUCAGCCCACGCUUUCCUAGUAGACGGCCUACCCCUCAUCCUCGAAAGAAGGGUAAGCCAACCAAGCCUAAGGUUCCAGCUCGUUCCUCGGACCAGCCGCCUAAAUCUCCCCCUGCCACACCUUCAAAAUCUAGCAACCCUUUUUCCCUAGGCAUUAGGAGGGCUACUUUGGGGGAGUUGGAGCAAAUUAGAGCCAAAUACAAUAUUCCUCCGUCUGUCCAGCUUAGGGUACCCCAUGUGAAUGAGCGACCCGAGUGUCCAAAGUCUGAUGGGAUUGCUCUCCAUAUCGAUCUCUUCGAUCUAGGACUCCGCCUGCCCCUCCAACCAUUCUUUAUGAAAAUGUUUAGUUACUUGGGGGUAGCUCCUGGGCAGCUGUCCCUUCCAGGGUGGAGGACACUGACGGGCUUACAUGUGUUAUGGUUGGAGGUCGUGAAGCGCGACAUUUCUGUUCGGGAGUUGAGGGGCCUUUACCAAUUCAAGAAGCCUAAGGGUCCCGGCAUUGCUUACUUCUCUCCCUGGGGUGAUCAUGGCCACAUCGUUGAGGGGAACCCCGCCUUGAAGAAGGGUUACCGAAAGGGAUGAUUUGUCGCUGAGGGUACCUCCCACAGCGGGUCAAAGGGUACCCCUCGCUCGAAGAAGAGAAAAUUCGGGCUGGUUUCUACUUUUCCCGAUGAGUUACGUGAGGGUGACUUAGACCCGGCUUCUAACAAGGAGGUUUCGCACUUGGCUCGCCACUUUUACUACUCUGCUGAAAAUGUUACCUCCGAGGUUGCUGAAGAGGUUGACAAGAUGAGCUUGAGCCAGCGUUAUGGUCAAGCACUUAGGGCUACCCAAGAGGUAGGCUUUCUUGGGGUACCCCGGGUGUACUCUUCAUCAUUUUCUUUUUACUUAUUUGAUCUUUUCGCCAUACACAUAUAUUUAACAUGUCUUGCAUGACCCGCAGGCAUCCUUUCUCCUUAGCCACUGCCUUCCGGAUCUCGACUCCCUUGUUGCCGCACAGUCAGAGGUCGACAAGUUAAGGAGUGAGCUUCAAAGCCGUCAAUCUCGUGAGGAUCAGCUCGCUCGAGAAGUUAAAACUCUGCAAGAACGCAUUGCUGGCCUAUCGGGAGAGAAAGCUAGGGUGGAGAAGGAUUGUGAGGAGUUGAGGGCCACCAACGGGGAUCUGCUAUCUCGGCAAAAGACGAUGGCGGAGGAUGCAUUCUCACUCAUCAUGACAGAGGUGUGGAGUGUGGAUCCGGCGUUGGAGGUACCCCGCGUGCAGAAAUUUGUCAACAAGGCUGCCAUUCUGAAGACAAUUGCAGAGCGGAAGAAGUCUUCCCAGGCACGGUCGGGUACCCCUUCUGGGUCGCCUGGGGUACCCCAUCAGCCUCAGUCGUUGCCCGCCUCGGAUGCCCCUAUUUCGGCGGCUCAUAUUCCGGGUACCUCGGAGUCUUCUGCCGAUCGCCCUCUAGAGACGGAUGUUGGGGAUCGCGUUCCCCCCUCGGUGUAGCCUUCUCACUGUGCUCUUGUUUAUCGGAUCUAUCCACAUUUUGCUAUUUGGACCUUGUUUAUUUCUUUUUGGUUUCUCGGGAUAUUUUGUUUUAUUGAGACUUCUCUUUUGUUAUGAUACCAUACCAUCUAGUCCUCUUGUACUUUGCAUUAUUCUGCAAAUGAAUGCUUGGCUAAACUGUUAUCUUACAAAUUCCUAGGGUACCUCUCAUUUCAUCAUUUUUUUUAAAAUGGGGUACCCCUGGUACCUUAACAAGUAUUCAACAUCAGGCGCCUGCUGGUUUACACUGAGCGGCGAAUUUGGUGCAUGCCCUCCUCGGCAACCAUGGCGGAUUUUCCACAAAUAGGUAAUCAAAACAUCGUCGCGACAUCUCGAUCAAAAAUUGAAAGUGCGCAAUUGGUCCAACCAAUCAAUUUCUUAUUCUUUCGAAGUGCUCUCCGAAUUUUUGAAUAGCUUACCCCAUACUUUGCAAAAGUACGAGGAUGGAGGUGUGGGUGUUCUCAUACCUAAGCCGAACUUCGUGCCGCUAGGGUAUGCCGGUUUUUCUUCACCCUCGGGUCCUCUUUGACCCUCCCUCUCUUUGUCUAGGUAGCUUUGUCAUGCUUCCGCAGAAAGGCUACCCCUGGGCUGUUCACUCCAUUGCCUAUCUUGGCUUUACACAGAUCGUCACGAUCUAGGCAUAUCAAGUACCUUGGCUGGUCCUGUGAUAGGUUAGUCAUAACUGACAAGCGUAUGGCGAGAAUUGCAUAUAACCAGAUGCGAGGGUAUAUUAAUGGCGAUAAAUGAAUGUAAUCUGCAUUCUAAGAUCGAAGUGGCGAAAAAUAAAGAAAGAACUCACAUCAUAUUUGUUGAGAAAGAAAAUGCAUUUAUAGAUAACGAAAGCGUUGAUCAAUACAUGACUUAGCUUUGUUACCCUGAGGAGAAUGGGAGACCGCAAGACCUCCUAUUCUUUUCAUUUGAAAAUUAAAGAAACUCUAAAGUUGUAACUGACCAACAUAGGGCAUUUGGGGUACCCUAUUUGGCAUACCACACAAAAACAUUAAAGAAAGCAAAUAACAGCAAAAGACUAAAGGUUGAGACACUGUCCUUUAGUAAUAUUUCCGUAGCAUUGCAGCGUUCCAGGGGUGCCUCACAAUUGUGCCAUCCAUGUGGAGUAGCCUGUAUGCACCUGUCCCAACGGGUUUGUCGAUGCGGUAAGGUCCUUCCCAAUUUGCCCCGAAAGCACCUUCGUAGGGUACCCUAGUGUUCUGAGUUACCAUUCUCAAGACUAAGUCUCCUUUCUUGAAGGAUCGAGGGCGUACCCUUUUUUCAUAUAGACCCGAAAUGCGAUGCUGAUAUAUGGAUGUCCUCAGUUCUGCUCUAGCCCUUUUUUCAGCUACCAAAUCAAGGUUUGAAGCAACCAAGGAGGUGUUCUCGGCCUCAUCGAAGUAUUCAACCCUGUGAGAGGGUACCCCGAUUUCUGCUGGAAUCACUGCGUCAACACCGAAUGCGAGGGAAAACGGGGUCUCCCUGGUGGAGGUGUUUUGAGUAGUCCGGUAUGCCCACAGUACGCCAGGUAGCUCGUCUACCCAUGCUCCAUUUCUUUCCUCUAGCUUCUUCUUCAGGAUACCUUUGAUAAUCUUGUUAACGGCUUCGACUUGCCCAUUAGAUUGGGGGUGGGCAGGUGUAGCAAAUCGGUUGGCUAUCCCCAACUCCGAACAAAAUCUUCAGAAUUUUUCAUUAUCGAAUUGCUUGCCGUUAUCACUGACAAUUGCAUAGGGGAUUCCAAAUCUGCAAAUGAGGUUCUUCCAAAUGAAUUCGGUGGUUUUCCUUUCUGUGAUGCUUGUUAGUGGCUCCACUUCCGCCCAUUUUGUAAAAUAAUCUACCGCCACGAUUGCAUGUUUUGCUUGCCCCUUUCCGGUAGGCAAUGGGCCAAUGAGGUCCACUCCCCACAUAGCGAAGGGCCAAGGGGAAGAUAUAACUGUUAGCUUCUCUGGGGGUAGAUGGGGUACCCUAGCGAACCUCUGGCAUUUGUCACAGCUUCGUACCAUAUUCUUGGCAUCCUCCCGCAUGGUUGGCCAAUAGUACCCCUGACGGAGAGCUUUUUGCGCCAGUGAUUGUGCUCCAUAGUGAUUGCCACAAAUCCCCUCAUGUAUCUCCCUCAUGACAUACUUGGCCUCGUCGCUUCCCAAGCAUCUAAGGUAAGGAAGAGUGAACCCUCUUCUAUAUAGGGUAUCCUGGAUCAAGCAAUACCGGGCAGCUUUAUACUUUAGUCUUCUCGCUUCACUUUUAUCUGAGGGGAGGUCUCCGUCCUUGAGGUGCCUUAUGAUAGGCUCCAUCCAAAGUACCUCGUUGGACAGUGAUCCUACUUCCAACGGCUCUAGGAGAUCAAUGCUGGGGGUGGGUAUGUGUUCUGUUGUGAUGGGGCCAGCUGACUGAGCUACACCAAGGGACGCCAUUUUUGCUAGGGUAUCGGCUUCGCUGUUCUCCAGUCGGGGUACCCUUUCCACUUUAACCUCGCAAAAUUGGGACAUUAAUUCUCUGGUUUUUUCGAGGUACCCCUUCAUGUUUUCCUCUUUCGCCUGAUAUUGUGCGGUAAUCUGGCUUACCACCAACUGUGAGUCACUCUUGACGUGUACCCUUUUUGCUCCCAAAGCCUUUGACAUCCUCAACCCCGCUAUGAUUGCCUCAUACUCGGCUUCGUUGUUUGAAGCCUUGAAUCCGAAUUGCAGGGCGUAGUAUAUUUUCACCUUGUUCGGGUUGAUGAUAAUAACUCCUGCGCCACUUCCGUGUGAGUUAGAGGAACCAUCCACAUAUAUUUCCCAGACCUGCUCCUCUUCAUUGGUGGGUAGGGUAUCUAACAGGUAUCUCAGAUCACAUUCACCACUUGAGUCAUUGGCGAAUUCCGCAAUGAAAUCAGCAAUGGCCUGAGCUUUAAUCGCCGAACGAAGCUUGAAGAUGAUGUCGAACUCGCUUAAUUCGAGGGACCAUCGGAGAAGCCUUCCGGACAUGUCUAACUUCUGAAGGAUUUGCCGGAGGGGAAGGUUGGUGACGACUGCAAUGGUGUGAGCCUGAAAAUAUGGUCUGAGCUUCCGUGCGGAGAUAACCAAUGCCAAAAUGAUCUUCUCAGAGGUGGGGUACCUUUUUUCGGCAUCAACCAUAGCCUUACUAGUGUAGUAAAUAGGUCGUUGUACCCCAUUAUCAUCCUCUCGGAGUAACACAGAGCUGGUGGCAUGCUCGGAUACGGCGAGAUAUAGCAGCAGCACCUCUCCCGGCUCAGGUUUGGCAAGUAGUGGAGCAUUCACGAGGUACCCCUUCAGUUCUUGGAAAGCCUCUUCGCAAUCGGGUGUCCAUUGGAGCUUUUUACCGGUCUUCAAAGCUUUGAAAAAGGGCUUACACCGAUCGGUAGCCUUGGAGAUAAAACGGCUCAGAGCAGCUACCCGACCUGUUGUACCAUGAACCCGAGAAACUUUCCCGAGGUUACCCCAAAUGCACAUUUUUCAGGGUUUAGCCGCAUCUGAUGUUUUCUCAAAACGGUAAAGGUAUCUCUGAGGUGCCCCAGGUGUUACCCCAAAUGCACAUUUUUCAGGGUUUAGCCGCAUCUGAUGUUUUCUCAAAACGGUAAAGGUAUCUCUGAGGUGCCCCAGGUGUUACCCCAAAUGCACAUUUUUCAGGGUUUAGCCGCAUCUGAUGUUUUCUCAAAACGGUAAAGGUAUCUCUGAGGUGCCCCAGGUGUUCCCCCGCAUGCACCGAUUUGGUGAUCAUGUCGUCUAUGUACACCUCCAUGGUGCGCCCGAUUUGUUCUUUGAAAAUUUUGUUCACUAGCCGCUGGUAGGUAGCCCCGGCAUUCUUCAAACCAAACGGCAGGCGUCCAUAAAACUAAGCAUUUCAUGCCUCGCUGUUGCAUCAACCAGCUGGUCCACCCGAGGAAGCGGGAAGCUAUCCUUGGGGCAGGACUUAUUCAAGUCGGUGAAGUCCACGCACAUGCGCCACUUUCCGUUUGAUUUCUUGACAAGAACAACGUUGGACACCCAAUCGGGGUACACUGCUUCCCGAAUAAACCGUGCUGCUGAUAGGCGGUCUACCUCUUGUUCAAUUGCAUCGUACCUCUCUUGAUUGAAGGCGCGAUGCUUCUGUUUGACCGGUUUAUUAUGCGGGCUGACAUUGAGUUUGUGACAUGAGAGAGAAUGUGGGAUACCCGGCAUAUCCGAGUAGGUCCAAGCAAAUACAUCGAGGUGCUCACAUAGGAAGGUGAUGAGUUUCUCCCUUUGUUCCUCCGAGAGGUUGGAGCCUACUUUCACUGUCUUUGUUGGGUCGGUGGCGCAAAUCGAGACUGAAAUAAGAUCUUCAACUGGGGUACCCCGCAUUUCAUCUUUCAAUAUCCGGGGAUCCAAAGGUGCCUCAACUUCACAUCUGGGCUCCUCCUGGUCCCCGUGGGGUACCCUCGAGCUAUCCCCCGUAACUGCUUCCAUCUCCCUUGGUGAAAACUCCAACUUUUCUCGUGGGUGGGCUACUUGAGGAGAUUUUUUCAGUACUGUUCUCCGCUGUCUAGCAAGUGCUCGCUUUGAGGGGGAAGGUGUGGGCUGGCUGCCACUAGGGUACCCCUUCAUUGGCGGAUCUGAAGCUAUUUGGUAAGUGACUUUGGAGGCCACGGAAUAACAUCCACGAGCCGAUUGCUGGUCCCCUUUAAUGGUGAUAACUUCUUGGGCGGCCGGGACUUUCAUGGCGAGAUAGUGCAUGGAUACCACCGCUUUAGUUGCUACUAAGAACGGCCUACCCAAUAUAAUAUUGUAGGCACCCGGGUGAUCUACAAUAAGAAAAUCAAUCAUAUGAACAACACGGUGAGGUACCUUACCAAGUGUAACGGGCAGCGUAAUGAUGCCUUUUGGUAUAACCAUAUCUCCGGCGAACCCAAUAAGAGGCGUAGCAUAUGGGGUGAUCUUUGGCGACUCAAUCAAUAGCUGAUCCAAGGCGCUUUUGAAAAUGAUGUCAACGGAGCUACCGGUAUCUACGAGAGUUUUUGCUACCUUACCAGUGGCAACCUUCAACGUAAUUACGAAGGCAUCAUCGUGGGGGUACGAGAUGCCCUCCGCAUCUUUUUCUGUAAAAAGGAUAGGCGGGGGAUGGUGGGGUACCUUCGGUGUACCCCAUUCAUUAAGGUUGACUUCUCUGCCCAUAUUGGUGGUUAUCGACAACGAUCUACCAUAGCCUUUGAUAGCCCUCCUAGAUUGGCCUGCUAAAGUCGGUCCGCCCAUGAUCAUUCGGACAUACACGCCUUUCUUGUGUCCAGGGGGUACCUCUCGUUCCGGACUGCCAUCAGCUACCCGCUUGCCUUUAUCCUGUUCCGCAGAUUUCCGAGCUUCUCUCAUGCCAGCAACAAAUUCUUUGAGGUACCCGCUAAGAAUCAAAGAUUCAAUUUCUUCUCGCAAGGUGAAGCACUCGGCUGUGCUGUGACCAAAGUCCUCAUGGAACUCGCAAUACUUCAGGCUACGCUUCAUGUUGGGGUACUUCUUCAUUGGCUUAGGAGGACGGAGGAGGCCGCUAUCCCGAAUAUGGUAGAAGAUCUGCUCUGGGGAUCGAUUCAGUGGGUGGUAAGAUUCAUACCGAGGCCUCGGCGGUGGCUCUCGUUGAUCCGGUGGUGGCGAUCUUGGAGGUUGGGGUACCCUUGAGGCACCCUGAGGGUUAUACCCUUGUCCCCGCAAGGCAGCCCGUGGAGGGCUCCGUGCUCGGGGUACCCGCGGUAUUGGGGCCUCCACCCUCUUGGGCUUCUCCUUGUUCUUUGUAACAUCGGCCUUAUCUUCUUGGCGCUUCAAUUGGCAUUUUUCGUCCAUCUCCAAUUGUUGCAACGCCCGAGAACGGGCUUCCCCAUAUGAAAGUGGACGCUUCUUUUGAAAAGAACGCCAUAACUUGCCCAACCGCAAAUUUUUCUCAAAAUGGGUCAAUGUGUAUUGGUUUCCAAAUGCUCCGGUUCGCAGCACCUCUUGGUGGAAACGACUUACAUACUCCGCCAAAGGCUCGGCUUCCCCUUGCUUGAUAAAGGCAAGUUUGGAGGCUACCCUAUCUUGAGUGGAAGCAUAGGAAAACUCUUUAGUAAAUUCAGAUAACAAUUGGUGUAAGGAAGAUAUGCUACCCGCUUUCAAAGAUCGAAACCAUGACUUCGCGGGGCCCGUGAGUGUGUGUGUAAACAUCCUACACAUGGCGCUCUCAUCUACACCCUUAAUGAGCAUUUGGUCACGGUAUAGCUCAGCAUGCUCCGAGGGAUCAGUGGUACCCGAGUAUUGGGGUAUCUGAGGCAUGGCGAACGCCUCGGGGAGAGCUGCUGUCCUAAUCUCCCUAGUGAAUGGUGAUUGGUAGGUCAUUGGCGUUGGUGCAGCUGUGAUGUUUUGCUUCUCGGAGAGGAGCUUCACUUGGGCUUCCAGGUUCUCCAUCUUUUCCACAAGUUCGAGGGGUACCCUCGGUGUACCUGAUGAUGUCGCCGCCAUUUGAGAAGCCCUUUUGGCGUUUAACUUCUCACGGAGAUCAUCGUGGGUACGCUUUGCACGCCUCGUACCCUGGCUACUGCGGGAAUUGCAAGAGGCAGUGGAACGCUCGUCGCGGGAGCCCAUGGUUUGAAACUUAGAACGGGUACCCGAUGGCCUAGGCUUUGGCUUGCUGGCCUCGGGUACCCCUCUUCUGACCAUAGCUUGGUCGUCCGUUUGAGGUGGUGGAGCUUCUAGCGUCACUGGUGGAAGUGAACUUUCGGGUGCCCGAGAUCCAACCGCCCUAAGUAUUGCGUGAGCAAGAUCCUCAAAACGCUUGUGCGAAAUAGGUUCUUCUUCUUGGCGAACACCCGUCGACUGCUUGACACCCUUGCCCUUACUGAUGCGGGCUACCCUUCUCGCGGGAUCACUGCCUUCACUGCUGCUGUCCUCUCUCAUCCUUGUAGGAUCCCCCAUUAAACCUUUAGGAGGUACGUCGGGUGCCAUGUAUUGGAGUACACACAACAACUAGUUUGGUAACCGUGGAGGAGGCUUUUUGUGCGUCUCCCCACAGACGGUGCCAAUUGUUUUCAACUGGUUUUGGGGUAAGAAAAGCCAAACCAAUCUAGAACAAUAAAUUUGUUAUUUUGAGGGGAGAUGGGGUACCUCACUGGUUUAUUGUGUGUUGGGCGGUGUAUCUAAGAUUUUGGGGAGGUGAGAAAGGGAGAGAGAGUGGUAACAAUGGUGGAAGAUCAGAAACAAGAGAGGUAUCCUUCAAAAUGAGCUUCACGCCUGCAAAACAAUGAAAUAGAGGUUAGAGGUGAAGCCGGGGGUACCCCGGCGUUCACACUCCGACGCUCAAGUUAGCAAACUCAAGCUUUUAUUGCAAAGAGAGCUAGCUAGCCCUCUGUAAAUUAGGGUUUAAGGUUGAAGAAAACCUCUUUUUUGGAGUGUGAGUGUUUUUGGGCGAAUGAGAGCAUGAUGGAGAAUGAAACCUAGGCGCCUUUAUAUAUGGAGUACCUUAGCUGCCACGUGGCAUACCCUUUUUGGCUAACGUCCUUUUACCGCUUUUAUGAUUCUUGGGGCCGUUAUGUGCAUGUUCGCGGCGUAUCUCAUCUUUUGGAAACGUGGCGCGCGCUGGAGAGUGGUCCAGGGUACCUCUGCAGUAGCUGUCGGGUAGGCGGCUAGGGACCACUGUCCUUGGGACAGUGUCCUUCACUUUUGGCAGAGGUAGCAGACGGCUGUCCCUCCUUUUAGCACGUCGCUUUUGAUUCCUAAUUCUGACAAAAUCAAAUGAUAUCUUUUAGGAGGCGGAGACGUUUCUCAUGGCGGAUAUUUUCGGUGGAUUCUCUUGCAUCCGCUUUGCCGGGUACCUCGAAUUACAUGGGGUACCCCCUAUUACGCAGGGUACCCCUAUCUGUAUGGGAUACCUCUAUUUGUAUGGGGUACCUCUAUUUGUAUGGGGGUACCUCUAUUUGUGUGGGAUACCUCUAAUUGUGCAGGGUACCUCUAUUUAUACGGGGUACCUCAAGUCAUGUCGGGCACCUCGGAUUAUGUAGGGUACCUCCGAUUGUGCUGAUAUCAUUCCAUUGGCUGACACAUGGCGCUCUAUUACCUUUCCCAUCUUUCCCUCAAACAGAUAAAAAUAAUACUUCAAAAGCAUUGAAAUGUAAGUGCUAUUAAAAAAACGUUUUUCAUUCAAAGCUAUAAGUAAUGAAAUGAAGAUAGAUAUCAUUGUUGAUUAAAAAAAAUUCAGAAAAAAAGAAAGAGUGAAAGAAAAGAGCUUGUUAUGUUAGAAAAUAGUGAUAGAGUAUGUUAAGGACUAAAAUUUAUUAAAGAAAGCAGUGGUUCUAUUUGAAAUUUGAUCAAGUUAGAAUUAGUCAAUUAUGCAUCGAGAAUGAAAAGAAUGAAGAAAGGGAAUUCAAAUUAGACUUACAAAAUUAUAAUAAAGUGAUUAGUUAAGAUCCAAUUAAGCUGAUUUACUAAAAAAAAAUAUUGAAAAAUAAAGGGCCAUAACAUUGCCAAAAGGACUAGGAAACUAAGUAGGAAGGGGUGAUUGUUGCGGAAUACCUUGAAGUGUAGUUAUUCCACAACCACGAAGACCAAUUGCUUUCGAGUUUUGUCAAAUAUAUAUGCCAAUCCUACAACAAUAUAAAGCAAAAUGUUACUAUCAAAUUAUUGUAGAAGACUGUGAUCGUUGUGAUAGAUCGGUAAUUUUAGUAGCUUACCUAGCCUUCUUAAAGAGCCACUUGUUAGAUUGAGGUUCCAGGUUAGAUCCAACACUUUCAAGUUUCUCAGUAAACAUUAAUUUUGAUCAAAACAAUAGACAUAAAUAGACAUAAAUGAAGUUAGUGUAUUAAAAAAUGUUGUCGUUGAAAUUACCACCAAGAUUCAAGAUCUUCAGCUGUUUCAAACUCCCAAAGCUGUCGUAAGCUGCAAGUGCAUAUAAAUUAUUAUCAUUAAUUAGUCACUGGCAAAAUAAUUAUGAAUGAGUAAUAUGAGUCAAGGCACUGCAAUUCUUCAAAAGGGUGAAACAAUGACAUACUCAGAAGGGAAACUCCAUAAGAAUAAGAGUUAUAAUCAGAGUAGUGGAUUUUUGUUUUCUGAUUGAGUGACAGUUGCGUCACCCGUCGGGUGGUGGCGUUGCACUUAACUCCCUCGCAAUUGUUACAACAAUCAGACGACAUUCCAUCAUCAUCAAACCAUGAAGAAAGAAUGUUGUCAUCAUAUCCAACAUCACUGGCUGAUAUGAAGAAGCUCUUGAUUUCCAACAGAGCAAUCCUCUCUGUUUCCAAUCAUGCUUUGUAUCCAUGUAACUGAAUCAGAGCUAUGCCAAUCCACAAUGACAACUUCAUCAAAAGCAUUUUCAUUAUUAAUAUUAACUGCAAGAGAAACACUCACAAGAUUGACCUGUCAAUUGUUGCUCUCUUGAAGUUUUUCUGGUUGUCUGGCAAAUAUAUGAUUUGUAUAUACACACAUGGAAAUGUUAGAAAACUAAGUCUUUGAUACAUGAUAUCUUCUUGUGACCCUAGUACCGUCCAAAGACAUUGAAACAAAGAGAAAUUAACAGCUGACUUACCUGCAUCAUGUGCAAAUCACGUGACAUCAAAAGUUACCAUGUAAUUUGUCUUUAUAAGUGUUUUCUGCUUCUGAAAAUGAAAAAUAACAAAAUGGAAAUGCUUUUAGCUUUUGGCUAGACAUUUUCAGGUCACUCUCUUAUCGUGGCCUGCGGCUUGCAGUCAUCAACAAUCCUCAUCUGGCCUCUUUAUAAUCCACUUUUAACAAAAUAUAGAUAGAAACAGAUAUAUUACUGAUAUUCAAAUUACACUUAAUAUUAAUAAAUCUUUGGACUGAGCUUUAAAUCUAUAAACUAAAACUUCCAGCAUACCACAAAUUAUUUUUAGAGCCCGCAUGUUGGAAUAUCUCCUUCAAGUUUCGCUUUGCUUUCUAGCACAUCAUUCAAAUGAGUUGCUAUACUAUAUCUAGCUAGUUUUGAACAAAGUAAGUGAGAAUAUUACAUCUGCUUUAGCAAGAUACGAGUGAAUUAAAACCUUUGACCAGAUUCAAGAGAGAAAAGAAUGUUGAAAUAUUGACUUGAAUAUUAUGGCAAAAUGAGUUUGACUUUAGUACCGACCAAAGAAAUAAUUGAAGAUGCAAAUUGGUUAGUUUGAGGUGCAUGGCUAUUGGCACAACAACAUUUGCUGCAUAACGAAAUUGCGGCGUCUCAGCCGGAUUGUGAGAGUUGUUUUCAAAUCCCAUUUCUCUUCUUUGUAUUUAUUCAUUGCCACAACAUUUGAUGCAUAUUUUGAUGACUACUCAAACGCGUUUCCACAAUAACUAACGAAAGGAAAAGUGAACGAAUAAGCAAAAGACACUGAUGACUAUAAUCAUGUAAAUGAAGUACAAGGCUUCACAAUAGAUUAGACCACCAAUUUGUGCCUUUUGAAUGCAUGUGCUUGAACAAGAUACGAGUGAAUUGAGGCAUAUCUUUCUUUCACAAUGUAAACUUCCCAAAAUACAUGUAAUCUGCUGGUGAAAUAAUUUUUAUAAAACAAAGGCUUAAAGUUAAAGCUGACUAAAAAUAUUGGCGUACGUCAAGAACGCUACGGGGAAAAUUCAACCGUGAGCUGCAGUCUGCAGUCCCCAACAAUCCGGGAAAAGGCUGAAGAGGUGCGCGCCUGCGCAUACUAAUUUGGCAGGUCUGAUAGGAUUUAUAAAUUAAAAUAAUGUAAUUUUAUAUAUUUUUUAAAUGAAAAAUUUGUUGAUGCCGCUGUGAGAUCCAUUGGAUCCUCGCGUGCCUGCCCCACAAAACAAUCUCCAUCAAAUCUCUUUACAAUCCAUUUUUGAUAAAAUAUGAAUAAGGAUACAUAUAUUUAUUCAAAUAUUAGUAAAAAUAGAUAUAUUGCUGAUUUUUUUUUGGUGUAAGCCAUUCGGUAUUUGGCGAACGCAAUUGGAUCCCGACUAAUCCGAAUUUGGGGUGUAGUCACAGUUAAAGCUCUUUACUCCUCCCACGUAAUUGGAUCCCGACUAAUCCGAAGCGAACGCAAUUAGAUCCCGACUAAUCCGAAUUUAGGGUGUAGUCACAGCUAAAGCUCUUUACCCCUCCCAAAUAACUUAUUUAGUGGGGAUUGAACCCAAGAGCUCUUCCCACAAACUCAGCCUGCGUUGCUAACUGAGCCACAACCAUUUGGUUAUAAUGCUCAUUUUUAAAUUAUACUUAAUGAACAUUUAGACCGAGCUGUAAGUCUAUGAAUUCAAACUUCCACAACACCACCAAUUAUUUUUAGCCUGCAUGUUGGAUUGUCUCCUUUAAGGCUGUGUUUACUAAACUGGAAUGAGAAUUGAAAUGGAGAAAUCCGAAUGAAUGACUUGUUUAGUCAUUAAAUUGAUGAUAGGAAUGGGAAUAAGGUGAGUAGGCUCCAAGUUCUUGAAGAGGAAAGAUCACUAUGGCACCAAUCUCCGGAAGAGGCAAGUCCAAUAAAGCCAAGGCUGACAAGAAGAAGAAAGAAGAGAAAGGCUUCAAUUGUUAAUCUUUUUUAUUCACUGCUUUCAUUGGAAAGUGCUUUUUGUAAAGUGCUUCCGCUUUCUAGCUUCCUUAUGUUCAUUGAUUUUUUUGUUGUGCAGUAGUGCCCAGUGUUCUUGAUAUCACAAUCAUCACCCCAUAUGAAUCACAAGUUGUUCUCAAGGUAUAAAUUUAUACUUAUCAUCAAUACUUUCUUGUUUUGCCCUCACCAGCUAUGAUUAGGAUAUUAUUUUGUAAAACUUUAUAAAUAUAAAUGAAUUAUUAAUUAAUCAUCUUUUUUUUUUUUUUUGGUUUGAUUGAAAUUUGCUCAAAGGGCAUCUCCACUGACAAGAUAUUUGAUGUGAAGAAAUUGUUGGCUUCCAAUGUAGAAACUUGCCACCUCACAAAUUAUUCUCUCUCUCACGAGGUGUCUAUAUUUUAUUAUCUCUUUUUUUUUUUCAUUAUAUAUGAUUAUGAAUUUUUUUCUGAUAAUAUUAAACACUAGAUACUAUUUUUUCCCACCUUAUUUUUAUGUGUUUAUUUCUUUAUUAUUAUUAUUAUUAUUAUUAUUAUUAUUAUCUGGUCAAGGGGCAGAGAUUGAAUGAUAGAGUAGAGGUUACUCUGAAACCAUGUUUGCUCAGAAUGGUUGAAGGCAGGUGAACCUCUCGCAUGUCCAAUUUUCUGAAUUAAAAAAUCUCAUUCAUGUGGAUGUGGGUCUCAUUUUAUUUGUUAUUUUUAAUUAUCAACAUUUAGAUCUUUUUAGUUGUUCAUCGCCAUACUAUUUUAGUAAACUAUAUUGAUUUGAUGGGGGAACCUUAGGUGCAACUGUGGCACCGUGCCACAAUUGCAUCUUAACCGUUGGAUGCCUGUGGACCUCAACACUCUAACUGCAUCCAACGGCUAGAUGCAACUGUGGCACGGUGCCACAGUUGCACCGUAGCCUGAUCCUGAUUUGAUUGUAUGUUUUUUAAGAAUUUUUUAAUAUUAUUGAAAAAAACAGAUUAAAGUGAAAAAAUUAUUGACUAUAUUAAUUGACUAAAUAAAUAAAUAAAUGACAAUAUUUUAUUUUUUAACAUUAAAAAAAACCAAUUUGAUGCAGUCCGCUUAGUCCUGCACACUUGGAACGUUACCAUGCUUUUUUGUGCUGUACAUUUUGGACUUAACUUUCCUUGUCAUUUCAAGUCAAAGUUUUUUUUUUUUUUUAAACUGAUUAAGUGUCAGGUUACUGUAUUACACAGAGAUAUUUACAAAUAAUAACAUAUCACUGAUAUUUACAAUCCGAUAUAUACUUAGGACUUACAUUAUUAUAUUUUUAUUCUAUAAAGUACGUGCCCAGCCAAAUAUCACUCAUAGGAGAGGGAUGUCUCUACUCCACUAGCAUUUCGCAAUGGAAAAAGACGUUAUAAAUAAUCUCUAAACAAUUAUAAUUAAUUGAGGGAGUUUGAGUCAGUAAAAAUUCGAACUAUUAAUAGUCAUUCUUAAUUUUAAGGGCAAUGAUUCACCUCUGGGCUACAAGCCCAAAUGGCAUUUCAAGUCAAAGUUGAAGCUGUUUCAAAAGUACAAUAAUAAGGUGCAUUUAAGUAACUGGCCUAAACUUUAGAAAUUUCAGAAGUUACAGAAUACGCAGUUCAUAUCUAGGAGCAUUAUUAGUUUAAUCAUUAAAUGACAAAAUUUUGCCAAUCUUUUUACGAGCCUUAACAAACUUUUUCUAGUUGAUAUUCAAAGUUUUAUUGAUUUUUUUUUAUAGUCAACUGUACUAAUUGAACAGUCAAUUUAAUAUAAAAACGACUUUAUCGCUUUGUGAUCCUAAUUUUCAACCAGGCGUUAAAAUCUAUUACCCUUAAAAGAAUAUUAGUUGGCAGAAAUGUAAACAGAAGUAAGAAGGUUUGUAGAAGUGUAUUAUUUCAGAAUUACUAAUUUUAUUGUGAAUAAUUAAUAUGAUUAGAAUUUAACAAAAUUUUAUUUAAAGACUUGUUUAAAGAGCAAAAAAUUUAUUUUUUAUUAUUUUUAAUACUUAUAAUUGUAAUUUAAUUUAGAAAUAUUUUAAUUAUAAAAAAUUAUUUUCAAAAAUAAAUUCGACGAAUAGUUUAGGGCUUUCAAAUAACUCUACUUAUAUUUAAAUUAAUAUUUAAAAGAAAGAAAUAAAAUAAUAAAAGUAAAAAACUUUGCCCGGCAAUUCCUUGUUAUUUACAUUUUUGGCACUGUCCUUGGCAGUGGACUACACAGAGGAAUCUCAGGCCGUGGCACACGUGCGGCGGCUUCUCGACAUCGUCGCGUGCACCACACGUUUCUCCAAGUCCAGAAACUCCCGAUCGCCGCCAUCAUCAGAGUCAUGUGCCAAAAAGAACGGCAGUAGGCCCCACCGACCUUCACUAAACCCUGCCACUCUGUCUGAUGGGGCAGCAACAGCAGCAGCAGAUAACCGAAGCGGGCCCCGCGCCACGUCAUCGCCAGUUUCGUCGGCGGUUUCUCCGAGUCUGGACAUGGCGGCCAUUCACCCGACGCCGAAACUCUCCGAGUUUUAUGACUUCUUCUCUUUCUCUCACCUCACUUCCCCCAUCUUAAGUAAGCCUAAUGUUCACUUAUUUAUUUGUCUUCGUUUUUUACAUGGUUGAUCCAAAAAAGGUUGACGUCUCUAUUUUUUAAGCUGUUGGAGCAAUACGCCGUCUCAUUGAUUCAAAUUUACACACUCAAGAUACAAUCAAUGUCCAAAAGGGGGCAAUCUUGCAUGAAGAUCGGGUGGGAGACUUGUCCAUUACAGUAAAAUGUGAUACAGUAGAUGCAAGCUUGAAAUAUGAGGUUACUGUUAAAGGAAAUCAGUCAUCUAGUGUGUCUGCUGCAGAAGUUGCUCAAAGGAAUUUACUAAACGGUGUUACUGCAGAUGAGAGUGUAGUUGUUCACGUAAGUCGAUUUUUCCUUUACUUUUUAUGCUUACUUUCACAGAACACACACAUAAAAGACAUUCAUCAAAGCUGAAAUUACUUACGUGGGCGGAAUAAUAUAGCUCUACCUUUGUCAGGGAGUGGUUUUUCAGUCGGAUUAAGAUGUUUCACUCUUUAUCUGAUAUCUGGCAUUUGAUGAUGGCCUAAAAUACCCAUCCUCUUCACUCUCUCUUUCUACACAUUUAUGAAUGCACAAGAAAGUCAAUUUUAGGUUCUUUCCUAAGAAUCACUACUCGUUACUAACCUUAUAUAUCUGGUUUAGCUUCAUGAAUCUUAUGUUGCCAUUCUGUUUGGUGACUCCCUAUUCUGUUGAAAUCACUGGAUAGCUGGUCUUUCUACUGAUUUUAUCCAUAUCCCUCUGAUUUUCUGCUUGUGGUUUGUUCCAACUUAAUGUCAUCAACCCUUUUUGGGGAAGCCUAUUAACCUUGGUUGGGCAUGCUUGUAUUAUAUCAACUAGUGAUACAAUUGCUAAAGUUUUCAGCAUGGUAGAUCUUGAAAUAAAAUUUUCUUGAAAUAUCUAGAUUUAUUUUUCUCAAAAUAUCUAGAUUUAUCUUCCUAUUCUUUUUCCCUUUCUUUUAUUUUAGUUUCAAAGAUUUGUGAUAAAGAGAACUGAAACAAUAUAGUUUUUGGCAGGAUACCUCCUCAUUGGGUACCGUCAUUGUAUGACAUUGUGGAUACACCGCUGUAGUAAAAGUUGUUGGUGAUGUGAAGGAGAAGUUUGGCACACAAGAUAUUGAAAUUGAAGAUCAACCUGGUGGAGGAGCUAAUUCUCUUAAUAUUAACAGGUCUGAAAUUGUAACACAAUGCUUCCUCUGUCGAUUCCUCUUAGCACACAAAGACUAGGAAAUCUACAGAUGGAGAAUGGCUGUAAGAUAUGAAAAAUUAUCUUUCAACCAAUAACAGUUUUAAGCUAUUCUGCAAGAUAUCUUAGAAAUGCUAACUGUUAUGAGCUUCUUUGCUUAGUGUCUAUCACAGUUGAAUUCAUGAUGCAGAGCAUUGUUAUUCUCUUUAGUUUUACCAGAUAGAACAGGAUUGAAAUGCUGGUGUUGGGGAUUCUUAAGAAAGGAUAGCACCUGUUCCUUUUUCUUCCUGUUUAGAUGGGAUCUAAUCAGUAGAUGUCUGAACUCUUAAGGGGAGUUGAUGUCAGAUUUCUAAACCAGGUUUUCUUCAAGUGUUAAGUUUAUGAAUAGGCCAAAGAAAAGAGAGCUGAUAUCUAGUUAUGGCUUUCACAAUAAUGGUUGAGUGUUUAUAGUUAUGUGCUCUGACAUUGGUUUGUAAUUGUUAUAUUAACAAAAUAACCAACAGACAUCGUUGACGAUGUUCAAAUAAAGGAUAAAGGAAAGUAUAAUUACAGUGGAUGCUCAGUUGCUGCAAUAGGUCAUCGGCUUUUUAGAUUGUGCUAUUUCAGAAAGUAUUUAGGCCUUCUUUGGUGGAUUCUGCCUUUGUUUCAUAUACUCUUAUGUCUUUCUCCAUUUAAGUUGUUCUGACAGGGUAAACUAUUUAUUGCAGCUUAAGGCUUGUACUUCAGAAGUCUUUCAGUGCUGAAUCAGCUAGAGGAGACCAAUUACCUCUGUGCAAUUUGGAUAAUUCGGAAGCUUUUAGAAAUCUUGUAAGAAGAGUUAUUAAACAGAGUUUAGCAAAGUUAGAGCUGGAGCCAACUGCUUCAGAAAGAUCUAUUAGAUGGGAACUUGGUUCUUGUUGGGUGCAGCAUCUACAAAAGCAGGAAACUCCAACAGAUACCAAGUCAACGAGGUCUGGGGAUGAUAUUAAGACUGAAAAUGACAAUGGACCGUGCAGCAUGAAUGUGGGAGGUAAUGGUAGACAGCAAAGCAAUGGCGAGCUCAAUUGUGAGAUGGAAUUGAAAAAACUAAUUUCGGAAGAAUCCUUCUUGCGAUUGAAAGAAACUGGCACUGGCCUUCAUUCAAAAGUUUCAGAAUCUCAAAUUUGUUUUGCAUUUCAACUGUAAAGUUUGCUACUUUUUGUGUUUUCAUUAUGCUAAAUUUGGUUUGUUUUAUUUUCAUAUGGAAUGGCUGGUAAAAUUAAUUUCUUGUGCAGGCAGUGGAUGAGCUUAUGAAAAUGGCAUACAAGUAUUAUGAUGACAUUGCUUUACCAAAGCUGGUACUAUUUAAUUUAUUUAGGGCCUUUGUUGCAGCCAAUUAAGACGUGUGGGGAUGGUUUAUGGACUAAUUUCCAUUCUUUAUUAGGUAACAGACUUUGGAUCACUUGAACUUUCUCCAGUUGAUGGCCGCACACUGACAGACUUUAUGCAUUUAAGGGGACUACAAAUGCGCUCUUUAGGUUGUGUGGUGAGGAAUUUCUCCCUCUCUUUCUCUCUCAGACAUGCAACCUAUUCACCCAUGGAAAUCGGAAUAAACAAAUGUUGUCUUUCUUUAUGUAAACAAAGCCCCCAACUUAUCUUUCUAUAUGUAAACAAUCCCCCAAGUCUUCCUGGAUUGAAUUAUCAAUGUUCCUUUUUGAAAAUUGUACUACAUGAUAGAAUUUUUGACAAUGUUGACCUUUUCCAAGACAUUGAAUUAUUGUCGUCUUUAGAUAUUACUGUAUGUUGUAUGACAUACAAUAUUUUGAGAAAUUGACAUGCUAAUACUUGGAAGCCUGGUAUUCUUCUUCUGUUGGUUCUAAUCCCAUUUACAAAUUCAGGUUGAACUUGCAGAGAAGCUUCCUCACAUACAAUCACUUUGUAUUCAUGAGAUGGUUACUCAAGCGUUCAAGCAUGUACUCAACGGAGUCAUCGCAUCUGUUGACUAUUUAUCAGACCUAUCUGCAGCUAUAGCUUCUUCCCUAAAUUUCUUAUUUGGCUGUUGUGAGAUGGAAGAUGAGCAAAGCUGGAAUGAAGAUCAUAUCCUCAGAUUGCAGUGGCUACGAACAUUUCUUGGCAGAAGAUUUGGUUGGUCCCUGAAAGAUGAAUUUCAGCAUUUGAGAAAGAUUUCAAUUCUACGAGGGCUUUGCCAUAAGGUAAGGUAUUGUCUUUUCGGUUCCUUUGGCAGCCGAUUAUUUUCAAAGCUUGAAUUUUGCUUGUAAACUUCACCCAGGUUGGGUUGGAGUUGGUUCCAAGAGAUUAUGAUAUGGAUUGCCCAAACCCAUUCACGAGAGAUGAUAUUGUCAGCAUGGUUCCUGUGUGCAAGGUGAGACUAUUUUCUCUCUUAAUUGUGUUUUGAUUUAGUUUUUACAUUCUCAGCGAGUCACUCAUUUGUAAAUUGAAUGUAAUUGUGCUAUUUUUAUGGCAUUCUACAGCAUGUAGGUUGCACUUCAGCCGAUGGACGGACCUUAUUAGAGUCAUCCAAAAUUGCCCUUGAUAAAGGAAAACUAGAAGAUGCUGUAAAUUAUGGGACAAAGGUAAUAACCCACUCGAUCUAUAUGUAAGAAUUACAUUAUUCUUUUCAAAAUAAGGCAUCUCUUGAUCUCAUAUGAUGUAUUACUUGCAUUGUAAGGCACUGGCAAGGAUGAUAGCUGUUUGUGGUCCCUACCAUCGGACUACUGCAAGUACUUACAGUCUUCUAGCUGUAGUUCUCUACCACACUGGAGACUUUAAUCAGGUACGACAAUCUUCAGUUGUAUUUCAGUGUCAACUUGGUGAUUCUAAGUCGAGUAUAAUUAUAACGUCCUUCUGUACGGAGGUUCUCAUUCAGCGGGACAUUUGAUUUGAAACUUUGUGUUAUGGUUACUUUUUAUGGUCUUGUAUAAAGAUAUGCAUUAGGAAUUAUAAUUUUCUGGAUUUGGGAAUUACAUGUACAGGCAUUAGCAUAAUUUUGAUAUCAGAUUAUAUAUUUUAACUAAAUCAAACACGUUCAUGGUUCUUAUGUUCAGGCAUUUCGUCUAAUGGCAUCUGCGUCUGAGUGUUAGAGUAGCGUUCGUAUGUGCUCAAGAUAUCUUCUUCUUCAUUUUAGGCAACUAUAUAUCAGCAGAAGGCAUUGGAUAUUAAUGAGAGGGAACUUGGUCUUGACCAUCCAGAUACAAUGAAAAGCUUUGGGGUGUCAAAGGAAUUAGCAGAUUCUAUGGCAAAUUCUAUGCCUGUACAGCUGUAACAAUUAUCUUUAUGAUUGUAAAUCUUUUAUGUUUUCCUUAUUUAGGAUAUACUAGCUGUAAGCUAAUUUAGAUAGUUUUGUAUAUGAUAGUUUAGCGAUGUUUAGGGCUAAACAUAAGCUUGUAUUCAUAGUAUAUAAUGGGAAUUCUCCUCCAAGAGAAAAACAACUUUUGCUCAAAAUUCUCUUAGUUUAUCAUGGUAUCAGAGUCUCAGUUCUGAAUUCUCUUCUUCCUAGUUCAUUCUCUUAUUCUUAGUUAUUUUUUAUCAAGUUAUCUCAGCCUCAUGUCUUCAGACAAGUAUGAUGCCUUUUUGAUCCGUUUUAAUGGCACAAACUACUCAGCCAGGGCAUUUCAUUUCGAGAUAUUUGUCAAAGGCAAAGAUCUAUAGGGACAUGUUGAUGGCAAGAAACCUGCCCCUGACAAAGACAUAGACCAGGAUGGGCACGCCAAGUGGGAAGUCAAGGAUGCUCAAAUCAUGGCAUGGAUUCUAGGAUAUGUGGAAUCCAACUUCAUCUUGAAUCUUCGACCCUUCAAGACCGUAGCAGGAAUGUGGAAUCAUCUGAAGAAACUCUAUAGUCAAACCAACACUGCUCGUCGAUUUCAACUUGAACAUGAGCUAGCCAAUCUCCAACAGGGCAGUCUCGCUAUUUCUGAUUUUUAUUCUAGCUUCAUGAAUCUUUGGGCUGAAUAUACUGAUAUAAUCUAUGCUACCUUACCUCCCAAAGGUCUUAGUUCUGUUCAAUCUGUACAUGAAACUACUAAGAGGGAUCAGUUUCUGAUGAAAUUGAGAUCUGAAUUUGAAAGCACUAGGUCUAAUCUUAUGAACCGAGAAUCUGUCCCUUCCUUGGAUACAUGCCUCAAUGACUUAUUUCGUGAGGAGCAACGACUUCUUACUCAAAACACCAUGGAACAACAAAAAUCCACUUCUGUUCUUAUAGCUUAUGCAGCUCAAGGCAAGCCAAAAGGUAGGGACAUAAGUACAGUUCAAUGUUUUUGUUGCAAAGGAUUUGGACAUUACGCUUCAAAUUGUUCAAAAAAAUUCUGCAACUAUUGUAAAAAGGAUGACCAUAUCAUCAAGGAAUGCCCUACUCGACCCCCCAAGAAAUCUGAAACAGCAUAUGCUACCGCAGUUGGUUCUUUUAGUGCUGGUAGUUCUGUCGAUACAGCACAUUUGACACAAAAUGCUCCUGCUCCUGUUCAGUCUGUGACCCCAGAAAUGAUUCAACAAAUGAUUAUUACUGCAUUCUCCUCAUUAGGACUCUCAGGUAAAUCACCCACUACAUCUCCUUGGUACUUUGAUUCUGGGGCUUCCCAUCACAUGACAAACAAUGAUAAAUUCCUCACCAAUGUAAGUAAAUACCCUGGAAAUCUAAAAAUUCAUACAGCUGAUGGCAACUCUUUACCUAUCACAGCCACUAGUGAUGUUUCUUCUUCUAUAACCAAUGUCUUUGUCUCUCCUGGUCUUACCACUAAUCUUGUUUCAGUCGGUCAGUUAGUUGACAAUAAUUGUAAAGUAGAAUUCUCUAAAUCUGGUUGUGUUGUGCAGGAUCAGCAGUCAGGGAAGAUGAUUGCCAGGGGGCCUAAAAUAGGACGUCUUUUCCCUCUCCAAUUUGCUGAGUCUCCAUGUUUCUCUUUGCCCAUCAUCACUUGUAAUUUUACUAAUGUUAAUUAUCGAGCAUGGCAUAAGCGUCUAGGACACCCAAACUCUAAUGUACUUCAUGCUUUGCUAAAUUCUGGUUUACUUGGGAAUAAAAGAUCACACACCAAAUGUUGUCCAGCCUUUUGAUUUGAUACAUAGUGAUGUGUGGGGUAUGACGCCCGUUACAUCUCAUGCUAAUUACAAGUACUUUGUCACUUUUAUUGAUGACUAUAGUUGCUUCACAUGGAUUUAUUUUCUACAUUCUAAAGAUGAAGGGUUCUCUGUUUUCAAGCUUUUUCAUGCGCAUAUUCAGACCCAAUUUUCAACUAAUAUCAAAAUUCUUCGCUCUGAUAAUGGGGGUGAGUAUAUGUCUCAUUUAUUUCAAGAAUUUUUGCACACCAAUGGUAUAAUUUCUCAAAGAUCUUGUCCUUCAACCCCCCAACAAAAUGGGGUGGCUGAAAGAAAGAACCGUCACCUUCUCGAUGUUGUUCGCACUCUUCUAUUAGAGUCAUUUGUACCCUCUCGUUUUUGGUGUGAAGCUCUCUCCAUUGCUGUCUAUCUCAUCAACAGAUUGCCCUCUCCUUCCUUGAACCAUGUCUCCGCUUUCUUUCGAUUAUUUGGCUAUACACCAAAUUACUCCCAUCUCCGUACCUUCGGUUGUGUGUGCUAUGUUCAUCUUCCUCCACAUGAACGCACAAAACUCACAACCCAAGCUGUGAAAUGUGCUUUUCUAGGAUAUUCUAUGCACCAAAAAGGUUUUCUUUGCUAUGAUCCAAAUUUGCGUCGUAUAAGGGUUUCUCGAAAUGUGAUUUUUUUUUUAAAUCAGUAUUUCUUUUUCGCACAUCAGGACGAUUUUUCCCCUUCAUUUUCUGUUUUGCCAAAGUUUACUAACCCUUCUGCAGAUUCUGUACCUUCUAAACCUCUCAUAGUCUAUCAGCGACGCAAGAAUUCAGUACCUCUCAGGCCCCCUCCAGCAACUUCCCUAAAUGCUGAUCCAGUUCCAGCAACUGCACCUGAACCUCUCAGACACAAUACUCGGGUUCAUAGACCACCGGAUAGGUAUGGUUUCACCUAUCCAUUAUCUUUGACAGCCACUUUGUCUUCUAUUCAUAUUCCUUCAUCAUAUAAACAGGCAAUGGAGCAUGAAUGUUGGCGAAAAGCUGUUGAAUCAGAACUUCUUGCACUUGAGGAAAACUAGACUUGGGAUAUUGUUUCAUGUCCUCCAUUUGUGAAACCCCUUAGUAGUAAAUUAGUGUUUUCUAUCAAGCUGCGUUCUAAUGGAUCCAUAGAUCGUUACAAGGCUCGGUUGGUGGUUCUUGGCAACAAGCAAGAAUAUGGCCUAGACUACGAUGAGACCUUCGCACCGGUAGCCAAAAUGACCACUGUUCGAACAAUAUUAGCUCUUGCUGCAUCACAAUCAUGGUCUUUACAUCAAAUGGAUGUAAAGAACGCUUUCCUACAUGGUGAUCUCAAGGAGGAAAUUUACAUGAAACUUCCCUACGUUAUGACUACUUCCUCACCUAAUGAUGUUUGCAAACUAAAAUGUUCUUUGUAUGGGUUGAAGCAGGCACCGCGAGUAUGGUUUGAGAAGUUUCGAUCAACUCUUUUCGGUUUUUCAUUCACUCAAAGUUAGUAUGACUCCUCCUUUUUUUUUCCAACAGACAUCUAAGGGCAUCGUUGUUCUCCUUGUUUAUGUGGACGACAUCGUUAUCACUGGUUCUGAUAUGGAGGCAAUUUCUAAACUUCAGAAUUUGUUGCACUCAACUUUUCACAUGAAAGACCUCGGUCAACUCACCUAUUUUUUGGGGUUAGAGGUGCAUCAUCGGACUCAAGGUAUCUUCUUGAAUCAGCACAAGUAUAUUCAGGGUUUAAUUCAAUUAGCUGGACUUAUGGACACAAAUUCUGUUGACACCCCAACGGAACUUAAUGUGAAAUAUCGACGAGACGAAGGGGAACUACUUCAAGAUCCUACUUUAUAUCGGAAGCUGGUUGGUAGUCUUAUCUAUCUAACUAUCACCGCCCAGACAUCUCUUAUGCUGUCCACACCGUCAGCAAGUUCAUGCAAGCCCCUCGACAUCUCCACCUAUCCGCAGUCCGCCGCAUCAUUAGAUAUAUUCUUGGCACUCCUAGCAGCGGUUUAUUCUUCCCUACUGGUUCUUCACCCCAACUACAAGCCUACAGUGAAGCAGAUUGGGCUGGCUGCCCGGACACGAGAAAAUCUACUAUGGGAUGGUGCAUGUUUCUUGGUGAUGCCCUUAUCUCUUGGAAAUGCAAAAAGCAAGACUCAAUCUCCAAAUCAUCCACUGAGGCAGAAUAUCGGGCCAUGUCUGCAGCCUGCUCCGAGAUCAUUUGGUUGCGUGGUCUCUUAACAGAGCUUGGUUUCUCAUAACAUCAACCUACUCCCCUACAUGCUGACAACACUAGCGCCAUCCAAAUUGCAGCCAACCCUGUCUACCACGAGCGCACGAAACACAUAGAGGUUGACUGCCACUCUAUUCGAGAGGCCUAUGACCGCCAAGUUAUCACCCUCCCGCAUAUCUCCACUACUCUACAUAUUGCGGAUAUCUUCACCAAAUCCAUGACACGUCAGCGACAUAACUUUCUUGUUAGCAAAUUGAUGCUUGUAGAUUUACCAGCAUCAAUUUGAGGGGGGAUGUCAAAGGAAUUAGCAGAUUCUAUGCCUGUACAGCUGUAACAAUUAUCUUUAUGAUUGUAAAUCUUUUAUGUUUUCCUUAUUUAGGAUAUACUAGCUGUAGGCUAAUUUAGAUAGUUCUGUAUAUGGUAGUUUAGCUAUGUUUAGGGCUAAACAUAAGCUUGUAUUCAUAGUAUAUAAUGGGAAUUCUCCUCCAAGAGAAAAACAACUUUUGCUCAAAAUUCUCUUAGUUUAUCAUGGGGAUCUUUCAGUUUUCUAUUAUCGCCUUCAACACAUUGAAUUGGCUCUUAAGUAAGUAGAUCUACUUGAUUUACCGGAGCAACUUUGUGAUUUUCAUUCUCUAACUGAUUAAGGUUUAUUUAUUCAUAUGUGACCUUUGUAUACCUUUGUAUUGAGUCUGCUUCGAACUAAUGCAGUUUUUAUCUACCUACUUUAGCUUUUAUUUGUCUUUUAUUGGCUCUAGCUCCUGAUCAUACCACACUAUUGGCAGAUAUGUAAAUCAUGCCUUAUUCCUUUUGCAUUUUACUUGUGGACUUUCACAUCCAAAAACAGCUGCAACAUACAUAAAUGUGGCUAUAAUGGAAGAGGGCAUGGGAAAUGUUCAUCUUUCUCUUAGAUAUUUGUAUGAGGCCCUUAAAUGCAACCAAAGACUAUUAGGAGAUGACCAUAUACAGGUUUUUCUCUCUCUAUUUACGCAUGUAUACACACUCUUUAGACUUAUAAAUCUUUCUGUAAACUCAGCAUUUUUUUGAUUUCUUCACGUGACAGACAGCUGCAAGUUAUCAUGCCAUAGCCAUAGCUCUUUCUUUGAUGGAGGCAUAUUCACUAAGUGUGCAACAUGAGCAAACUACACUGAAGAUUCUCCAAGCAAAGCUUGGACUAGAAGAUCUGCGUACUCAGGUGACUACAUGUAGUCAUAUUUUAAUUGGUUCUGUUGUGCAAUUUGGCUAGUUGGCUUUUCUCUUGUCAAUCUUUUACAGGUGAUAUUAUGAUAUAAAACAAAUUGUAUCGGCGGCCUAUUUUGGUGUCAAAUAUGGAUAUGACCCAUUCAUUAAUCGUAUCGAAAUAUCAAAAUACAGAUAUGACCUGUUUAUUAAUAGUGUUGACUUGUUUAGUAUUGAAUACAAACAAAUUAAAAAUUAAUUUAAAAAUAACAAAUGUGUCAAAAAAAUAAGUUAUAAAUAAGUUAAAAUGACAUAAGUAUGACAUGAAUAAGUUUAUAACAUAAUAUGAGUAUGACAUGAGUCGUUAAUUUAGUGUUUAGUAUAUAUUUUAGUUUUUUUUUCCAAUAAUAUUAACACAUAAUAAUUGAUAUUUGUGUUAUAAAUGUAUAAUCAUGUUGAGAUGGACCAAAACAUAUAUGACAUGGUUAUUUAUCAUGUCGUGUCAAUUCAUUUAUUGAUCGUGUCAAUAUUUGUCAACAAAAAUAGGGGUCAUAUGUCAUAUUAUGUUGUGUAAUCGUGUCAUAAUCCCUUUUGCCACCUCUAAUCUUAACUGUCAUGAGAGAAUUUCUCAAGUUCCAUAUUAUUGAUGGGAAGAGAUUUUUUUUAUUUUGUUGUUUUUUUUUUCGUUUUACAGGAUGCUGCUGCAUGGCUGGAGUAUUUUGAAUCAAAAGCUCUAGAGCAGCAAGAAGCGGCACGGAAUGGAACUCCAAAGCCAGAUGCGUCCAUUGUGAGUAAAGGUCACCUUAGGUAUUAAUAGGGUAUUCCCACAUUACUUGUUUCUAAAUUGUUGAUUAUUUCUUGUGGCACCAAGAUCUAUAAUGAUCGCUUUUUGCAGUGUAUCAGAUCUCCUGGAUUACAUAAGUCCUGGUCAAGAUUCUAAAAGAAGCGAAGCACAUAGGAAACAACGACGUGCAAAGAUAGUACAUAUUUAGUGCAUGUUUGGUAUGAUUUAUCUAAUGAUCAUAAAUUUUUAUUUAAUCCUAUAAGCUCUUAUCAAAAAUUUUUUUGUUGUUUAAUUUUUUUUUAGUAGAGCUCUUGAAAAUGAAAUAAGCUAUUUUGCCUCUACUACCAAAACCUCAAAUUUUGUGCUUUUGAGAGUAGAGGUUAAAAAGUUUUUUUUUAAUAUUAAAAUAUCUAAAAUAUUCUCUACUUAUUUGACAAUCUUAUUUUAUUCUUUUCAAAACAUAACUUUAAAAAUUUGCUUAUUAAAGUAAUUUUAUAAUUUUUAAUAAAAGCCCUUAUUGACAACCAAACAACACAAAUUUUUUGAGUAAAAACUUUACUUAUAAAAUCUUUACUAGCAAAACUCUACUCAAAUAAGAUCUAUUUGAAAAGCUAUGUGAAAUGAAGCAUUAAGCAUGCUGCUGUUCUCUGUUCCUUUUUCCUUGUGAUGUCAUCUGAAUGGAUUCUUAAACUAAUUGUAGUUAGGAUUUGGUAUUUUAGGGUACACUCUGCUGGCUGCAUAUAGUUUUGGAUUUGCUGAUUACACGAGUAAACUUGUUGUCCAUGCAAAUGCAACUAACUAUUGCAGGAUAAUAGUUCUACUUUUCUGAGUGAACUCUGAAGGCACCAAUUAUAAACAUCCAUUUCUGGCAUAGAAUCACACUUAUCUAACAUGCUUAUACAGAUCGCAGACAUGAUUGAAACUUUAGAAGGUUCUGAUCUAUUGAUGGCCAUAGAUUGGGCCAGCUGAUAGUUAGUAGCCAAUGAUGAAGGGUUGCUUGGUCAAGCAGCUAGUUCUUUGGAAAUUCAGAGAUGAUGAGCAGAACGAGUGAUGUUUUUGUUUUCCCCCGUAAUCUUGAACAGAGUGGGAAGAAACCGUUAAUUUGAAGUGCAAUGGAUGGAUAUGACAGAUCUAUCAUUUUGGCUAGUAGAUGGAGUUCUUCCAUUCUACUCUUAUUUAAUGGUUGUUAUUAUUGAUUCUAGAAAAACAUUUUUCGAUUUGGCAGUUGGAGUUUUUCCCUUUUUUUUCCCCCAUCUUGUAGGCCUUAGAGAACCAAAUAAUACUCCACAUUAGAUAGACAGGAUUAUUGUGUGCUAAUUUGAAGUAUUACAUGGUUGACAAUUUAAGACACUAAUAAAGUAUUUCGCUUUGAUUAUUUUUUUUGAGAAUUCCAUGAUUCAAAAGGCCGAAGAAUUUCGUUAGUUUAACAUAAUAUAUAUUAGCAUAAUUUCUCACUGAGUGUUUUUUUCAACAUUUCAGGCAUGUGCAUAUCAAAUUCCCAUUUAUGUUCCACUGAAUUCUGCCUCAUGUUAUGAUUGUAACUUAAAAUGAAAUAUUUCUAUGUGCUCAAUUUUUGACAUUUUAUAUGCAUACAAGUUAAAAAGCUUUUGUUUAUUUUUGUUUAUUUAUUUAUUUUAGGUAAUGCAGAUUAGGGAAAAGAUUCAUGGAGCACAUCAUGAUAUGAUGGUGGAAGAUGCACUGCCCCAUGAUGGAUUGAAAAAAAGUAUGACUAUAGUGGAAAGCAAGACCGAGGAAGUAAUGGAAGACAGUGUUCAACCUGAAGAGCCAGAAGAGAAUGAUAAUAUUACUAGAUAUGGACCGGCAAUUUCAGGUGAGUUUGUCUAUGAAACAAAUUCAGAUGAGGGGUGGCAAGAAGCCAAUCCAAAAGGUAGGUCAGGAAAUGCUGCUGUUCGGAAGCUCAGCCGGAGGCGACCUUUUCUUACAAAGCUAAAUGUCAAUGGUUGUGAACAUUCAAAUCUUAGAGAAAAGGGCAAUAGACGGGAAAUUUUAUCUCCAGCACGGGAAAAAGCUUCAAGGACCACCACCACUGAGUUAACAGGCAUGAAGGAUUCAAUUAAACUGCAGGCAAAAGCUUCCGUCUCCAAAGUUUAUGCAAGUCUACCAAACCUUACUGCCAUGACUUCCAAGUCGCUGUCUUACAAAGAAGUAGCUGUGGCACCACCAGGUACGGUUCUAAGGCCAUUACCAGAGAAACCUGAUGAAGAAAUUGAAUAAAAAACUGAAACACAGAUGUGCGGUAAUGCUCCUGAGACAUCAAAGGCGGAGUUGAAUAACCAUUUCUCUCCAGUUGAAGAUGUGCCAGUUGAUGGUCGUUCUCAAGAAACUCAUGGAAGUGCAACUCAAUCUGAAACUACUGCUGCAGAUACCGAGGAAGUUCCUUCUUCUUCUAAUGAGGAAAAGCCCAUGGAAACAAAUGGGAGUAAGCUUUCUGCUGCAGCUGAACCAUUCAACUCCAUGACUCAUCUGCUGAACUCUGUAGCAGCCACGAGUAUUUAUGAUGCGCGAACUAGUCAAGGUAUGCUUGCUGAACCUGCUGUACCUUCGGCUGCUGCUAGAGUUCCUUGUAGGCCAAGGUCGCCUCUCUAUUAUAGAAAUAAUUAUUCUUACAUGAUGAAAUAUGGAUUUCCAAAAUACCACUCUUCCAUUAUGGAAAGAAACCUGUUGGGGCCUUCAAGAAUCAUGAACCCGCAUGCACCUGAGUUUGUGCCAGUGAGAGGUUGGCAAAUAAAUCCUGGAUAUGCAGAUUCAAAUGUUUCAAAUGAGUCGAACUCUUCAAUGACACAAGUGAGGCAGAAGAUGAUAAACUUGACAAAAUGUCCAGUAUCCAAGGCGAAGAUAAUACCUCAAGAAAGAGCAGUACAGAGGCCGAGAAGUCAGAGCUGGCAAGACAGAUACUACUUAGCUUCAUUGUAAAGUCAAAUUGAGAAUUUGAACAAACACAAACAUGGAUACAUAGCUGUUUGGAGAAAAGCCAACGGAUACAUAAUACAGCACGAUAAGUUAUACACGGCCGAACCGUAUGUGCUAGUAAGCACAAACAUAUUUGAAAAGCCAAUAAUAGCAUGUGUCAAUACAUCUAUCAACGAAAUAGAACCACAGUUUGCGCCAGUACGAGUUUAUCCAAAGUGCUGCAAAUAAACCCAAACUCACCGAUGCAUAGGAUGCUCCAAAACUCCAUCUUAAUGCCACCAUGUCAAUCACAGAAUCGCUUUCAUCUUCUCCUCCUCCUGUAGGUGUCGCUGGUGGUGUCAAAGCACUGCUGCAUUUCCUCUUUAUCAUUGAGCCACAAAGAGCCGAAUUACCUUUAUAACUGCAGUCAUCAAAGGUGGCAAACUGCUCUUUGUCUGGGAUUGGGCCGGACAAAUUGUUGUAUGACACAUUGAAGUUUGAUAAAAAGUUGAGCUCAGUUAGUUGAGGAGGAAUUUGGCUACUUAAUUUGUUGCGGGAAAGGUCAAGGCUCUCUAUCAUUUUUAGAUUGGAGAAGCUCUCUGGUAUAGCACCUGAUAGUAAAUUAUUGGACAGAUUAAGUGCACGAAUAUUUUGAAGUUGCCCAAUUUUCCAUGGAAUUUCUCCACUGAACUCAUUGCCUGACAAAUCUAGUCCAGCCAUGUAGUUGAGGUUGCUACCGAUGAAAAAUUCAUAUCUAUUCUUUGUCACAAAUUUUGCACCUACUUGUUGAUCUUGUCUAAAAUGUAGUUCAACUGGCAGUUGCAGCUCAAGAGAGGAAUUGUAGUAGGCAACAGGGGAAUCAACAUUAUUUGCAUAAAAAAAUUCUGACGAAUCAUCAUCAGUCGCUUCUCUCCAGAAUGGCACGUUACCCAAACAUGAAGGUAUCGGCCCAUUAAGUCUGUUACGUGAAAGAUCCAUGAUACUUAAUUUCCUUAAUUGGCACAAUUGAUUAGGAAUACGUCCUUGUAGAUAGUUCCCUCUCAAAAGAAGAACAUGCAAAUUCGAACGCUCAUUGAUCUGAUGAGGAAUCCUACCAAAAAGUUUAUUGUCCCUCAAAUCGAGGGUCAAUAAUGUAGAGCUUCUAAGCAAUGCAAUUGGAAUUAACCCCUUAAUUGCAUUGUUUUGCAGAUAAAUGUGCUUCACGAAUGAAAGAUUGGAGAGAGAUAUCAAACUAUUUUCGGAGAGGUCUAUAAACUCAAGACUUUUAAGAUUGUUGAGCUGGACCGGAAUAUUACCUUGCAAAUAGUUUUCUGACAUUAAAAGAACCGAAAGGACUGAGAAGUUCCCAAUCCAGUGGGGAAUAUCGCCGGAUAACAUGUUGUUGGAUACAUUUAAUACUCUUAGCAAAGUGGAGCUCAACAAACCAUCUGUCAUCUUCCCACUGAAAUGAUUGUUGUCCAAAUAUAACGAACCCAAAUCAGUCAAGUUCAUAUAAUUGGGAAAAAGUUGGCCAUAGAAAUUGUUAUUUGAUAGGUCCAACCAAUCUAAGGAGAGGCAACUAGAGACUAUAGGUCGAGGUAAUUUUCCCGUAAAAUUAUUUCUAGACAAAUCCAAAAUAGUUAGCUCUUUCAUCUCACCAACUGAAUAAGGAAUAUUACCUUCAAAAUUAUUUUUUGACAUAUCCAAAUAUAUCAAUUUCUGAAAGAUAAUACCCAAAUUCUCUGGUAGCUUACCAGAGAAAUUGUUACUGGAAAUAUCUAGAUGACGAAGCUUAUCGUAUUUGGCAUUGGGAAGUCGUGGAAGAAUUCCUGAGAAUGAGUUAUUCCACAGAAACAGAACUUCUAAUCCUGUGUUGUUUUGCAACAACCAAGUUGGAAAAUUGCCAACCAAUUGAUUGUGAGAGAGAUCAAGGAAUUUUAAGUUGGAUUGGUGUAAAAGAAAACUGGGAUUGACAUUUAAGCGGCAGUGAGGUAAUUGGAGAACCUUGAGAGGAUAUGUGGGGAGCCAGUUUUCGGUUUUCACUUGCAACAUAUCGUUUUGUGGCGAGAGUAGCAAGACCUCAAGCUUUGAAUGAUUAGCCAAUGAAUUUAUUGAGAAUGUUCCUUGGAAAUCGAUGAAAGAGAGAUCCAAAUAUUCAAGUGAUGUGAGGUUGGCUACUAUAGAAGGUAAGUUUCCACUUAACCGAUUGGAAGAAAUAUCAAGAACUUUGAGAUGAGUCAAGUUGAUAAGACAUUGAGGGAGCUGACCCUCAAAGUUAUUUGAGCUUAGAUCCAACUCAAAAAGAUUCUUCAAAUUACAUAUUCCUAAACCUGAAAAUAAAAAGCUCAAAUUUCAUAAAACGAAAACCAAUUAUAGCGCAUUCAAUCAUAAAACCAAUAUAAGACUUAUAAAACCGACAUGAAAUUAAAUUGUCUAAGUAUUUUGGUCAACAUAAAUAAUAAUAGAAUGAUAUGAAUUUAUUUCUCAUAUAAUAUGAUGUUGAUUGCAAAAGCGUUUCAAUUAAUCUAACAAAAAUAAUAAUAAAAAUAAAAAAGCGCUCAAUAAUUCUUGCUCAUCAUAAUCAAUUCAAAAAGCGUUCCAGCAAUUCUUGUUGUUUAAAAUUAUGAUUUUCUGCGGAAGAGUUUGUUGACCUCAUCUUUUUGUUGGAUAUUGAUUCUCUAAUCUCUAAAUUUGUUGGAUAAUGUAGAGAGAAACUCGUAAUAUUUUAGUUGCCUGGCAUUCAACAAGAAUUUUUUUUUAAAAAAAAAAUUGUUUAAUUUAACCAAAAAAACCUUGUUAAUUAGACUUAGAUUUAAUUUUUUUUUAUAUAUUUUUCUAUUUAAAAAAUUAAAAAUGAGUGAGUAGGGGUAGAAACAUCAUUUUGUAACUAGUUGUGGGGGCAAAAAUGUUAUUUUGUAACUAAUUGUAGGAGUAAGAAUGGCGUUUUUUAUAGUUAAUUGUAGGGUAGAAACGUCAUUUUGUAACUAAUUUAUUAUUCUUAUUAAAAUUAACAACAAAAGUUAACAGAAUAUUGCACGCUCAAAUAUUUUUAAAAAAUAUGUCAUCUUCUUAAAAUUUGUUAAAAUACGUGUCAUCCAAAGGUAAUUGACCAUUUAUAUUAUUAUUAUUAUUAUUAUUAUUCCCAAAAAAUCAAUUUCCCUCACAAUAAUCUUUUCUUUUCGUAUACAUUAUACUAUUUAUGUUUUUAUAUAUUUACUAAAUCAAAUAUGUAGAAUUUAUCAUUUUCUUUGAACAAAAAAAUAGCAAGGUCACCUAAUUUAUUCUUAAAAUUAAAAUAAUCAAUAUCCAUUGCUUAAUCUUAAGUUUUAUGGAAAUUAUUCCAAUAAUAAUUCUUUAAAAUAUUCUUACCAAACACAUUUUUCUUUUUCUCAUUUUUGAGAUUAUUUUUGAAAAUGAUACCGAACACAUUUAUAAAUUUUAAAAAUAAAUUUAAAAAUAGCAUUUUUAUUUUCAUUUUUUGGGGUGAAAACAACGAUUAGAAAACAAUAAUGGGUUCUUGUUUAUCAUCCUUCAACAUAAAAACACAGUGUAAAUUGUUUAAUUUGGGUUUCUAGAGAAUUUUUUAUAUUACUAUUACUCAAAUUUUAUGCUUCCAAGCUUUUGAAUUUAUCUAAUCCUGCAGGCUGCAUCAAGAAUUAAUGAACAUAUGAUAAAAAAAUAUUUUUUUAUUCAGAACUAUAAAUAUUGAAAUAAAAAUAAAUAUCAUGUGAANNNNNNNNNNNNNNNNNNNNNNNNNNNNNNNNNNNNNNNNNNNNNNNNNNNNNNNNNNNNNNNNNNNNNNNNNNNNNNNNNNNNNNNNNNNNNNNNNNNNNNNNNNNNNNNNNNNNNNNNNNNNNNNNNNNNNNNNNNNNNNNNNNNNNNNNNNNNNNNNNNNNNNNNNNNNNNNNNNNNNNNNNNNNNNNNNNNNNNNNNNNNNNNNNNNNNNNNNNNNNNNNNNNNNNNNNNNNNNNNNNNNNNNNNNNNNNNNNNNNNNNNNNNNNNNNNNNNNNNNNNNNNNNNNNNNNNNNNNNNNNNNNNNNNNNNNNNNNNNNNNNNNNNNNNNNNNNNNNNNNNNNNNNNNNNNNNNNNNNNNNNNNNNNNNNNNNNNNNNNNNNNNNNNNNNNNNNNNNNNNNNNNNNNNNNNNNNNNNNNNNNNNNNNNNNNNNNNNNNNNNNNNNNNNNNNNNNNNNNNNNNNNNNNNNNNNNNNNNNNNNNNNNNNNNNNNNNNNNNNNNNNNNNNNNNNNNNNNNNNNNNNNNNNNNNNNNNNNNNNNNNNNNNNNNNNNNNNNNNNNNNNNNNNNNNNNNNNNNNNNNNNNNNNNNNNNNNNNNNNNNNNNNNNNNNNNNNNNNNNNNNNNNNNNNNNNNNNNNNNNNNNNNNNNNNNNNNNNNNNNNNNNNNNNNNNNNNNNNNNNNNNNNNNNNNNNNNNNNNNNNNNNNNNNNNNNNNNNNNNNNNNNNNNNNNNNNNNNNNNNNNNNNNNNNNNNNNNNNNNNNNNNNNNNNNNNNNNNNNNNNNNNNNNNNNNNNNNNNNNNNNNNNNNNNNNNNNNNNNNNNNNNNNNNNNNNNNNNNNNNNNNNNNNNNNNNNNNNNNNNNNNNNNNNNNNNNNNNNNNNNNNNNNNNNNNNNNNNNNNNNNNNNNNNNNNNNNNNNNNNNNNNNNNNNNNNNNNNNNNNNNNNNNNNNNNNNNNNNNNNNNNUAAUAAAUAUACUUCAAAAUUAUUAUAGAAAGGCCCGGAUCCAGUGGGGUUGUUUUGUAAAUUAUCCCAAUAAGAUUGCCUAGCCUUGUUAAAAAGCCACUUGUUAGAUUGAGGUUCCCGCCUAGAAACAACGCUUCCAUGUGUCUCAAAUUUGCUAAUCCUGCUCAGAAAACAUUAAAUUUUGAUCAAGACAAUUUACGUAUAUAUUUUAAGAGAUUAACGAGCCUAACAUGCAUUUCUGCUGGCAUGAAAUGUAUAUACCUUGCUUGAUUCUGGAACCUUCAAUGCAAUUGUAAUAAAGAUUCAAAGUGGUAAGUGAAGUUAGCGUAUUCAAAUAUGGUAAUAUGCUGUCGUCGAAGAAAUUGUCACAAAGAUUUAAGAUCUUCAGCUGCUUCAAGCUCCCAUUGCUAUCGUAAGCUGCAAAUGCAUAUGAAGUAUUAAUAUUAUAAUAUGCACGAGAAAUAUAUACAUAUACAUGUACCUUUGUUCUCAUAGAGGCCUUUAAGCCAAUUAUCAGAUAAGUCGAGGCUCUGCAAUUCUUUGAAAGAAUGAAACAGUGACAUAUUCAGAAGGGAAACUCCAUAAGAAUAAGAGUUAUAAUCAGAGAAGUUGAACAUUCUUGUCCCAUUGAGUGAGAGUUGCAUCACCCGGCGUGUGGUGGCGUUGCACUUAACUCCCUCCCAAUCAUCACAACAAUCAGACGACAUUCCAUCAUCAACCCAUGAAGUAAGAAUAGAGCCUUCAUAUUCCCUAUCACUGAUUGAUAUAAAGAAGCUCUUGAGUUCCAACAGAGUAGUCCUCUCUGUUUGCAAGCAUGCUUUGUAUCCAUGCAUUUCAUUCAUCAAAACAAUAAUCCAAAUUAGUGAAAUUAACGAGAACUUAACGAAGGAAGUACUUUCCAUUGCAAAGCAACUUUUCAAUUGGUCAAUAUAAAAUUUGCAAGGAGGAAACUUCAAUAUUUAUACUAAACAUUUAUCAUCGUGGACCUUGCAAUUUGAUUGGGUGAAGAUUACCAACCACCACCUAACGAAAAUGAAACAUCUCAGAGAUAUCAAGUAAUAAAAAUACUUGAUUAUCUUAUUUUUGUUUUAGAGGGUUAUUAAAGACAAAACGUUGUCAAUACAUUAUAACAUCGCUAUCUUGAAGUCUUUGUCUUUAGUGAAGACUUGUAAGCUUGAAAUUACAUAUAUAUUGCAGCAUCGACCCAGGAGAAAAAGAACUUCACUAAUACUCCGUGAAAAAUAAAAUUAAAGUUCACUGACUCUUGAAUUAAGCCAACAAACAAGCGAGUGCAAACUAUAUUUUCUCCAACAGUUUGAUGGAGAUAGUCGUAACUAAUAAAAUAAAAGUUGUGUGAAAGAGUGUAAAUAAUUUAUCCGUAUAUUUGGGUUUACAUUGGAUUAUCAGUUAAUCUAUUAAAUAAUAUGUUUUGUAAAGAAUUUGAUUGGAUGUUUGAUAAGUUUAAUUUAGUAGUUUAAUUACUCAUAAAAGUGUGAUGUACUCUAAAAUGACAAAUACAUAAAUGUUAUUUGAAGCUUUUGUGACCCUUCAUGUUCAUGCAUUUGAAUCAAAGCCAUUAAAAUCAAAUAUAUUGAUAAACCUUAAUAAGGAAAUUAAGUUUUGAUUGCUCUCAAUCUGCAACUCGACUACUAUUACAAUCACUUGAAAUGACAAAAACAGAAAUUUCAUAUGAACUUGGGACAGAUGUACACGGGUUCAAUUUAGCUAAUUUCCCAUAUAUUUACAACUACGGGGAAAAUUAAAGCUGAUUGACUUUCAAAUUAAGCAACAAACAAGCGGCUGUCCUACUAUUUUUCCUCUACCAAUUGACGGAGACCGCCGAUGCUAUAAAACAAAAAUUGAUUAAGAAUUCAGAUAAGGAAAAUUAUCAACUGUCCGUCCUAAGUUUAUCAUUUAUUCAUUUUUCGCCUUAAGUUUACAAUUCGUAUUAGUCAUCUACUAAAAAGAUAGAAUUACACUUAUGAAAUGACAAUACAUAAACAAAUAUAAAUGGCAAUAGUGGUAAUUUUGUAUGAAUUUUUCUGUUCUUUUGGUGGUUGGUUGAUACAAAUUAAAAACAUAAGAAGAAAAAUAAAUAAAUUCAAACUUUUAGUAUUUCUGAUAGCAGGUUAAACCAAAGGAGGAGGGCUUUACAAUUUCCCUUUAAAUAAUUUAAGGGUGUGAUUGCGUUUCUAUUGAACUGUAUGCUUGGAUUUGCAUUGAAUUAUCAAAAAAUCUAUGCAAGCAUCGAAUUGUAAUGACUGACGAAGACUUAUAAGGCUUGGACCAAUGAAGAAAAAUGCUUCAUUAAUGCUCCGUGGAAAACAAGCCAGUUUGGAAGCAGUUGAUCGGAUAGUCAACAGUUGAUUGAGAUAGUCAACUAAUAAAAUAAGCGUCGUUUGGGUUUGAAAUAAUCAAAUAAUUUAUUGAGAAGAGUUGAAUUCCGUUAUUUUAUUGAGAAGAGAUCCAUCACUCCCUCGCAAUUAUCACAGCAAUCAGACGACAUUCCUUCAUCAUCGUCAAACCAUGAACUAAGAGCUUCGUCAUCGUAUCCAAUAUCACUGGCUGAUAUGAAGAAGCUUUUGAUUUCUAACAGAGCAGUCCUCUCAGUUUCCAAGCAAGCUUUGCAUCCAUGCAUUUCAUCCAAAACGACAACCCAAAGUAGUGAGGUUAAUGAGAACUUAAUGAAGGAAGUACUUCCAUUGCAAAACAGCUUUUUAUUUGGCUAAAGUUAAAUGUGAAUUAAAUAUCUUUGACUGGUGAUAUACAUAUAUUCAGAGAUUUGAAGUGCUCAAACCAAAAAAAAAAUAAAAAAAUAAAAAAAUUAUUAUAAAAAAAUUGAUGAAUAAUAUAGUUCCAGGAAGUGCUAAUGUUUGAGGGAAGUACAUCGAGGAGACCAGACGUGAUGAGCAGGUGGUUGGUGGCAGGGUUCUGCGAGCAGGUGUAUCCUGCAAGAGCCAAAUAGCAGGGGAAUAGGAGCAGGAGUAUUCUGCUUGUCCACGAAUAUGCCAUUCGGGAGGCCGAACUCCUGUCAGAGGCAUAAGGUCACUCCUGCUAGGCAUGGAGGCGAGGAGACGCAAUCAACGACAGUUGGCAGGACGUGCAUUCGUAUCCGAGAGUUAAGGCACGAGGGUCAUCUCCAUUCGCCGACAAUGGCGGUAAUGGGGCGUCCACACCCGAGAGUGGGGAGAAUGACGGGCGUGGACUGCGGAAGAUCUGGAUUCAGAGGAAGCCUAUAAAAAGGUAACCAACGAAGGUAAAAGGGUUAGAAUUUUGGCUAUUUGAACUAAGAAAAGAGAACUCUAAGAACGGAGAUUACAGAAAAGCCAUAAGAUCUGUGGCAAGCGUUCCCAGAACCUUCACAUCUGACUUGAGCGUCGGAGGGUUUACGCCGGGAAAACAACCGGCGUGCUCUGACUCGUUUCUGUGAACGCAGGGAUACUUGGAGAAGAAAGCAUACGAGGAGAGAUCCUGAUCGAGGUGAGGUUGAUCGAGCAGAUAUCCUGGUCGUAGGACGAGCAUAACCAGAAUCUCGCAUCAACAUUUUGGCGCCGUCUGUGGGGAGCUGAGCAAAAAACUUCUGUUGAUAGCAAGAAGAGGAGUGAAGCAAGUGAAAAGUAAUGGAGACAGGAGGAAGUAGUGCACAAGGGGGUGAUAUGAGGCUGAACGAUUCCGUGACGCUGAGGGAGAUAGCCAGCGAAGCCAGGGAAAAAGCCAUGUUCGACCGGAUGGGACGGAUGGAAAAACAGAUGGAGACCCUGACAACCAUCCUGCAUGAGUUGCGGAGUGAACGAAGGGUAACCCAGAAGGAAAUGGUGAGAGGUGGUGGAGUGGCACCAGGUCCCGAUGGUACAAGGAGAAGUCAAACCGCCGAGAGACUUGGUGGUGAGAGAGGUAACAUACCUUUGCGGGGAGAAUUCCAUAGAGACGAAGAGCAAUCCCCGGCAAGACAGAUUUUUUACGAGGACGAUGGGGUGGCGAAUGCAGAAGAAACAGAGUUGAGGCAACACUUGCAUGAUGUAGAGCAAGAGAGGGAUCAAGUUGCAGCACGUGACCCUGGUCGUGCAGUGCAGCUGGAGGAGGAAGUGCGCAGACUAGCGCAGAUAAUUGACGAUAUGCAAGGAAGGAGCAGAGCUCCUGGUUGGAGGAUAAUGCUGGACGGAGAAUCACCGCUCGCAGCAGAUAUCAUGAGGGCAGUUAUUCCGAGAGAUUUUCCUCUCCCGGACCUUAGAUAUUCGGGACGAACUGAUCCGCUGGUGCACAUAGAUCGCUUCAAUGACAUAACGGGGGUACAAGGAUUAUCUCAGCCCCAAAGGUGCAGGGUGUUCCCACUAUCCCUGGAGGGACGUGCACGCGAGUGGUACAAGAAACUUCCUCGGGGCAGCAUUAAAACCUUCGAGCAGAUGUGCCAGGAAUUCGCAGAGCAGUUUAGUGGGGCAAUGGCACCAGAAGAUGACAUGAUGGAGCUGAAAAGCAUGAAACAGGGGGAGCAAGAAACCUUUCGGGAAUUCAUCAAGAGGUUUCAUCGUGCUGUCCUCGACUUGGGAGCCUUCAACCACCCUCAGGCAUUAAGGGGAUUGAAAGAAGGAGUGAAGAUAGGAAGGCUGUGGUACAACUUGAGAAGCCCAGCUAUCCAGACGUAUGCGGCCGCAUACGAGCAGGCUAAGAGAGAUAUUGAGAUUGAAGAGGAGAAGGCAGCACGAAUUAAGAUAGACCAGUUAGAAGGGUUGGGGAGGAAAGAGAAGAAAGCAUUACCGGGGAAUGGGCCGAUCAGGAGGAGGAACCACCAGGCCUCGGAUAGUGGAGCAGGAGGCCGGGUAAUUGCUUACCAGCCUCAUCAGAGGCCACCACAGUAUCAGCGCAGCAGGGCGCAGCCUCCUCGCUCCCCAGCUAGGGAGCCUUGGAGAGGGCAUGGUUCAUCAUAUGGUGGUCAUCAACACUCCCACGGUGGCAGAGGGAGCAGACCAGAGGUACUGCCACCGCACCCAACUCAGAACGGAGCAAACAGAGAAAGAGCAGUGAACCUGAUUGACCAGAACCGGGACUAUGGGCGGUACACUUCAUUGAAGAUGUCCCUGGCCGAGGUGUACGAGGCCAUAAAGGAUCGAGGGUUGCUAUACCUCCCGGCUCCAAUAACUAAGCUACCCAGCAGGAGGGACAGGGGACGCUAUUGUAAGUUCCAUGGCACUCAUGGCCACACCACAGCAGAUUGUAGAGAUCUUAAGACCCAGGUUGAAGAUUUGGUGAGAAAUCGGUAUCUGGACGAGUUUAUAGAUGGGACCAUCCCAAUGGUAGCCUCAACAAGUGAAGGGGAGCAGAGUGACAGGAACUUGAGACGCGAGCAGCCCGCAGUGAGGGUUAUAGCGGGGGGUCCGACAUUGGCCGGAGACUCCAAUAGGUCAAGGAAGAAUUAUGCUAGAUACGCCAUGACCAGCAAAGAGGUAUUCUUCAACACCCCAGCAGCCAAACAUGCAAGAGUCAGGCAAGUGCCAAUCAUGUGGACAGAUGAGGAUGAAGAAGGGAUCCUAUACCCCCACGAGGAUGCUUUGGUCAUCAAGGCCACUGUCGCUAGCAAGAAGUUUGACAGGAUACUGGCUGACACAGGGAGUUCAGUUGAUGUGUUGUUUAAGUCAACCCUGGAGGAGAUGGGAAUAGCAGACCUGAAGUUGGAUUACACCAAUACCUCCUUGAAGGGGUUUGGAGGAGGAAGGCUGGUCCCUCUGGGCGUGGUCGAGCUGCCUAUCACGAUUGGGAGCUCCCCGACAGAAAGGACAAUGAUACUGGACUUUGUGGUAGUGGAUGAGGAAGGUCCUUACCAGGUAAUCCUAGGUCGGCCAUUUCUGAGGAUGAGCAAAGCGGUGCUGUCCAACCAUUAUCUGGCUCUGAAGUACCGGGUGAAUGGGGUAGUUGGAGUGGUACGAGGAGACCAGAGGAUCGCAAGAAGCUGCUACUCCUCGGCGGCAAGGGAAACAAUGCAGAUAACAUCCCUCGAUACCCGAGUGGAAAACAAGAAUGGCAGACAAGAACCUGUAGAGGAUCUGGAAAUAGUAAGCCUGGGACCAGAGAAUCCAGGAAAGACGAUCAGAAUCAGGUCGAGACUUAAGGGAGAGCAAAAGCGGGAGUUGGUGAAAUGCUUACAGACUCAUGCAGAUGUGUUUGCUUGGACACAUGAAGACAUGCCAGGGAUUGACCCGGAGGUGGCAUGUCAUAAGCUGGCAGUAAAGAAAGGUGCUCAGGUAGUAAGGCAAAAGAGGAGGUGCUUCAACCAGGAGAGGUAUGAGGUUAUAAAUGGCGAGGUGGAGAAGCUCUUGAGAGCAGGGUUCAUUCGGGAAGUCAAUUACCCUGAAUGGAUAUCGAAUGUGGUGUUGGUAAGGAAGGCAAAUGGCAAAUGGAGGAUGUGUGUGGAUUUCACGGACCUUAAUAAGGCGUGCCCAAAAGACAGUUUCCCUUUACCGAAGAUCGAUCAGCUAGUAGAUUCAACGGCUGGACAUGGUCUGCUUAGCUUCAUGGACGCGUUCUCGGGAUACAACCAGAUUCCCAUGUACGAGCAGGAUGAGGAGAGUACGGCUUUCAUCACUAACCAGGGUUUGUUCUGUUACAGGGUAAUGCCAUUUGGUCUAAAAAAUGCUGGGGCCACCUAUCAGAGGCUGGUGAACAAAGUCUUUAAGCCGUUGAUUGGGAAAACUAUGGAGGUGUAAGUGGAUGACAUGAUCACCAAGUCCAAAAUCCCGAAGGAACACGUCAGACACCUCGAGGAGACAUUCGAGCUUUUGAGGUAGUAUAAGAUGAAGCUCAACCCGGAGAAGUGUGCCUUUGGGGUCGAGUCAGGGAAAUUCCUUGGAUUCAUGGUGAGCCAUAGGGGGAUUGAAGCAAAUCCCGAGAAAAUCCAGGCAAUUGUGCAGAUGAGGUCUCCCCGUAACCUGAAGGAGAUGCAGAGCCUCACGGGUAGGUUGGCGGCGUUGAGCAGAUUCAUAUGCAGGGCUACAGAUAAGUGUCAGCCAUUUUUUCAAGUGAUAAGGAGGGGAAAGAAAACAGAAUGGACACCAGAAUGCGAGGAAGCCUUUCAGAACUUGAAGCAAUACUUGCAGCAAGCUCCACUGCUGUCCACACCGAGGGAUGGGGACAAGUUAUAUCUGUAUUUGGCGGUAUCGGAUCGGACCGCCAGUUCCGUUCUAGUGAGGGAGGAAGAAGGAGUUCAGUAUCCGAUAUAUUACACCAGCAAGGCCCUGCUCGAUGCUGAGACCAGAUACCCACCGUUGGAGAAAUGGGCACUUGCCCUUGUGGUUGCUGCUCGGAAGUUGAGGCCAUAUUUUCAAGCAUUCCUAGUCUCGGUAAUAACAAACCAGCCGUUGCGUCAAACUCUGCACAAGCCAGAUGCUUCAGGUCGGCUCGUCAAGUGGGCUAUAGAGCUGAGCGAGUUCGACAUAGACUACAAACCCCGAGCAGCGAUAAAGGCUCAGGCAAUGGCCGAUUUCGUAGCAGAAUUUACAGAGCCUGAAGUAUGUUUAGACCAACGAGAUGUAGUUGCAGACAGUGGCGAAGCUCAAGUAUGGCAAAUGUCUGUAGAUGGGUCAUCAGGGGAGCAGGGAUCAGGAGCAGGGAUUGUAUUGGAAGGCCCGGAGGGGGAGGAGAUCUCUUAUGCUGUAAAGUUAGAGUUCGCAGCAACGAAUAACCAGGCAGAGUAUGAAGCCUUGAUAGCAGGGUUGGAACUGGCUAAGGCCGUGAGAGCAGAUAGAGUGAAAAUCAGAACUGAUUCCCAGCUGGUUGCGAAUCAUGUCAGUGAAAGAUUCCAACCGAGAGAGGAAAAGAUGGAGCAGUACCUGAAGAUAGUCAGGCAGAUGAUGGGAAAAUUCGAAGCGGUGGAGGUGGUACAAAUCCCUAGGGAGCAGAAUAGUCGAGCAGAUAUUUUGGCCAGGAUGGCAGCGGUAGCAGAUCCAAAGAUGCCAAAGUCGGUCCCUCUGGAGGUGAAGUCCAUCCCAAGCAUCGAGCAGAAUUUGGAGGUGCUGCGAAUAGAACAAAAAUGCUCGUGGAUGGAGCCGAUAGUUUCAUACCUUAGAGAUGGGGUACUACCACCAGAUAAGCUGCGAGCUCGGAAGAUUAGAGCCCAGGCCUCGAGAUACACGAUGAUUGAUGGGAUACUGUAUCGGCGAGGAUAUACACUGCCGUUCCUUCGAUGUUUGGACGAGGACGACGCGGAUUAUGUACUGAGAGAAGUACAUGAAGGAAUUUGCGGGAACCAUUCUGGUGGGAGAUCCCUGGCCCAUAAGGUUUGAAGGUAGGGAUAUUUCUGGCCGACAAUGCACCAGGAUGCACAGGAGAAGACCAGGAGCUGUGUAAGCUGCCAGAGUUUUGCAAAUUUCCCCAGCCAACCACCAGAGAAGCUCACUUCUAUGGUCUCCCCUUGGCCAUUUGCUCAAUGGGGAAUUGAUCUGAUUGGUCCACUGCCAAAGGGACGAGGAGCAGCAACGCAUGCCAUAAUUGCUAUAGAUUACUUCACAAAGUGGAUAGAGGUCGAAGCCCUUAGCAGAAUCAUAGAGAAGAAAACGACAGACUUUGUGUGGAGAAACCUGGUCUGUCGAUACGGGAUCCCAUAUGCCCUAAUAACGGAUAAUGGCAGGCAGUUCGAUAAUCACAGCUUCAGGGAUUUCUGCCAAAACCUCGGGAUAGAGCUGAAGUAUUGCUCGCCUGCUCACCCGCAAUCGAAUGGACAAGUAGAAGCAGCCAACAAGACCAUCAAGAGGCUUUUGAAAACCAGGCUUGGAGCAAAAAAGGGUGCAUGGGUUGAUGAGCUGUCAGGUGUGCUAUGGGCAUACAGAACAACCCACAAAACAGCAACUGGGGAGACACCGUUCGCCUUGGCUUUUGGACAUGAAGCGGUCGUGCCAGCUGAGAUAGGAACGACCACACAUCGGACAGACCAUUUUAAUGAGCAGGAGAACGACGAGCAGAUAUGUUUGAAUCUUGACCUGCUAACGGAAAAGAGGGAGCAAGCAGCCGAGCGAUCAGUCAUAUACCAGCAGAGGGUUGCCCGGUAUUAUAACCAGAAGGUGAACAUACGACAGUUCAAGGUCGGAGAUUGGGUGUUAAGGAGAGUGAAUCAUAACACCAAAGACUCGACUCAAGGAGUGCUCGGUCCGAAUUGGGAAGGGCCAUAUAGAGUCAAGCAGCUAGUUGGUCCGGGAGCUUACAAGCUGGUUCGCAUGGAUGGCCACGAGGUGAAGCGCCAAUGGAACGCAGCACAUCUCAGGAAAUAUUUCUAGUAAGAGUCAUUAAUAUUUUCAAGUUCUUUCUGUUCGUAUUUGCCGUUAUUUAUUUUAUGACCAAGCAAUUUCAUGUAAGUUGAAUAUUCCAAUUAAUGGAACGUCGAGGAAUUUCAGUCACUUGCAACCGACAAAAUUUCUAAGGCAUGCAAAGGCUCUUCAAGUCUCAAAGCCUGUUUAUGGCGAGACAGAAGCCAAGCGUGCCAGGGUCUGCUCGACCACGCGAAGGCGAGCAGAAUCCCCAAGCAUCGAAAAAAUUUCUAAGGCAUGUAAAGGCUCGUCAAGUCUCAAAGCCUGUUUAUGGCGAGACAGAAGCCAAGCGUGCCAGGGUCUGCUCGACCACGCAAAGGCGAGCAGAAUCCCCAAGCAUCGAAAAAAAAAAAUUUUUUUUAAGGCACGCAAAGGCUCGUAAAGUCUCAAAGUCUGUUUACGGCGAGACAGAAGCCAAGUGUACCAGGGUCUGCUCGACCGCGCGAAGGCGAGCAGAAUCUCAAGCAUCGAAGAAUUUUCCAAGGUAUGUGGCAAAACCACAUGCCAAGACGAGCAGAUUCUCAAACGGAAAAUAAGUCAUGAUUACAACACAAGAAAGUAAUCAAAAACAUCUUUGUUAAUUGUUAGUAAUUAAUAGAAGAGAUAAUCGUCACAAAAAUUGUUCAUUACAGUACAAGAUAUAUAUUAAGAAGAUGGUGGAUCAGUAAGCCGAGCAUCAUCGGUUGGCUGGACCUCCUCAGGUGCAGGGGGGGUAUCACCAGUAGCAUCCAGGGGGGUGCUCGCCUCGCCAACGGCAGCAGGGACUGCACGAGGAGGAGAGUUCUCCUCCUCAAUCACGAUCGGCUCUACCCCUUCAGCAUCUUCCUUGGCCGCUUCCUCAUCCAUAUGUUGAGCAACACCAGCUGCAAGGUCAUCCAUCUUCAGAUCAGGGUGUUGCUUCCCGAGGACGGCCAUGAUGCAACGAUAAGAAUGCCGAAGUCCCUGGUCGUACUGAUUGUCGGCCUCCUUCUCCAAGUUCUCGACCUGAGCUCGGUGGGAGUCGCGGAGAGAUUCGAGCUGGGCCUCAUACGUAGCCUUCUGCCUUUCCAGAUCCUCCUUGACCUUCGUAAGCUCCUCCUCGAGGGUAAUGGCCUUUGCUUGAGCAAGUGAUUCUUGCUCUAUCAGCUUCAGAUUCUCGAGAUUCAACUCCCUUGCUUUCUUCUCGGCCACGUCAGCUCUGGUCGUCGCCGAUUGAAUAUCUUCCUUCAUCUUCCGGUCGUAGCGGCUAACCUUAGCCUUGAAAUAGGUAGUCAUGCAACUGAGGUGGAAAGCGCUAUACUGCAUGGCCCCCACCAGCUCACCCAAGGUGCAGCCGUCAAAGUCCUCCAGGUCCUUUUUGCUCACGAGUUUAGAUAACUCAUUGAGGUAGGGGACCAAGUGUUCUGCUCGGCUGUCAGGUAAACGAGAUCGAGGCCCGACAGGAGGAGAAGAGGAAGCAGGAUCCGUGGCUGCUCCACUAGUCUCCCCAAUUUGGGCAGGAGCAGGAGGUAAAGUCUUCAAGGGAGAGACUUGCUGCACGAUGUUGGCCCGCUUUGCAGAAGGGGCGUCCUUGUUCUGGUCCUUCUUCGUGGUUUGAGGUCGAGAACGUUUCCUGUUCAGAGCCCCAAUCACAGCGUCCUCCAUCUUAUGGCCAGGUAGUAUCAAGCGAGACUCGAGCAAGUUGUAAGUAGUUAACAGCUCUCGGCUCGGGCAGGAAUUGACUAGCACAGCCUCAACCUGUUUGAGCUGACCAGGUUGGAGCGGGAAAUGAACACCCCAGGAAACUACAACACAAACGAGCAGAUUGGAAAUGGACACUUGGUUAGAGACAAGCCAAUAAAGCAAGAACAAUUAUGGAUACAAGACAUCUAAAGCGAGCAGGCAACCUGGGACCGUGAAACGGGGGGGGACCCGAUAAUCCUUCCCGUCCAUUUGUGCAACCUGACCCCAAGGACCCCCAGCAAAAAAGAACUUUCUCUUCCAAUUCCCUCCACCACCAGUAGGGAGGUCGGUUAUAGGUUUCCUAGUCUUGGUACUAGAUUAGAAAUAGUACCAGCCGGCAUCUUUGGGGCUGCUCUUUAGCUGGUACAGAUGCUUCACCUCAUCAAUUGUGGGCUCGCUUUGGCAACAUCUGUCCCACAAUAUGAACAGACCAGAGAGUACUCUCCAUCCGUUUGGGUUCAACUGACCAGGAGAUAGAUUCAGCCCGUUAAGUAUUCGGGCAAAGUAAGGUUGCAAGGGACACCUCAGCCCAUACUUAAAGCUAUCCAGAUACAGGGUAACGUAUCCCCUAGGAGGCCGGCUAGGAGCAUCCUUCUUUCCUGGGAUCUUAAGAGGUAUUUCACUAGGAAUACUAUACCUAAGCCGGAGGUCAUCGAGCUCAUCAAACGUGGUCGUGCACGUCAUAUAAUCAAUAGCGUAAUCCCGCGAUAGGGCUCUACCUCCUAUUGUACUCCUCUCUUCUGGUCGCGACGCUCCUGAUGGGGACACCUCACCAGAAUCAUCUCCUCGACCCUCACUCAAGGUGUUCUCCGACCUAGAAGAUCCCUCUUCAUCGCUAUUUCCGCUCGAGGAGGUUGUUUGGGGAGACAUCCUCCUAGCGCUAGGACCAACACUGGAUCUAAUGGGCUCUAAGGGGAUCCCGGGGUCAAAAGCAGGGUCGGUGAGCAAACUAGGCAGGAAGUCCAACUCAUCGUCGUCAACCUCAAUGACCUUCUCUUUACCUUUCGACAUUCCCUAAGCGCUAACCACAACACCACCACCAACUACUACCCGAACAAAAGAGAAGAGAAAUUAUCUACAACUAUCCGAAACCAAGGAGAUAGAAGAAGUACCUGAAGUAAUGUUUCAGUCGGUGAAAGACAGAGAUGGAGGCCUUUAUGCCGGAACUUCUUUGCCGGAGAGACAGAGACGGAGACGGAGUGGAUGAUGAGUUUUCUGUACGAAAGGAUUUGGGUUUCAUAAAAGGGAUGGACUUUUAGGUUGCCAGCAUUUAACAGUACCAAAUCCCAAGGGCCUCGUAACCGUUGGUUUAAAAUUCAAAUAAAGGGGCAGAUUUCUGCCACAUCACCUCGUCCGCAAUUAAAUGUGACAUGACUCCUGGCAGCCUUUUCCAGCCCCACGCGAACGAGAACCGUUGAGUUUCUACUGUUGGUCCAUUACAUUACCCAACACCUGAAACUGGGGGACCUGUGUUUGAGGGAAGUACAUCGAGGAGACCAGACGUGAUGAGCAGGUGGUUGGUGGCAGGGUUCUGCGAGCAGGUGUAUCCUGCAAGAGCCAAGUAGCAGGGGAAUAGGAGCAGGAGUAUUCUGCUUGUCCACGAAUAUGCCAUUCGGGAGGCCGAACUCCUGUCAGAGGCAUAAGGUCACUCCUGCUAGGCAUGGAGGCGAGGAGACGCAAUCAACGACAGUUGGCAGGACGUGCAUUCGUAUCCGAGAGUUAAGGCACGAGGGUCAUCUCCAUUCGCCGACAAUGGCGGUAAUGGGGCGUCCACACCCGAGAGUGGGGAGAAUGACGGGCGUGGACUGCGGAAGAUCUGGAUUCAGAGGAAGCCUAUAAAAAGGUAACCAACGAAGGUAAAAGGGUUAGAAUUUUGGCUAUUUGAACUAAGAAAAGAGAACUCUAAGAACGGAGAUUACAGAAAAGCCAUAAGAUCUGUGGCAAGCGUUCCCAGAACCUUCACAUCUGACUUGAGGGUCGGAGGGUUUACGCCGGGAAAACAACCGGCGUGCUCUGACUCGUUUCUGUGAACGCAGGGAUACUUGGAGAAGAAAGCAUACGAGGAGAGAUCCUGAUCGAGGUGAGGUUGAUCGAGCAGAUAUCCUGGUCGUAGGACGAGCAUAACCAGAAUCUCGCAUCAACAGCUAAUAUGGCUCUUUGAACUCUCUUUACAGUAUUGGUAGAAAUUUAUCCGAUGUGUACAAGGGCUUGUAUAUUUUGCAAUAAAAUAUACAAGCCAAUAUGAAUUUCUUUCUUUCUUUCUCUCUCUUUUUUUUUUUAAGAAACAUGAAUUGGUUCGUCCAUCAAUUAAUAAUAAAACCAUAAUGUACACCGGUAUGAGUUUAUCUAAAAUCACCGGCUACACCAAUAUCAUUGUGACAUAGGAAGCGAUGAGGAAAUUUACGAGAUAUUUAUUAAACCAUAGUCUACGCCAGUAAGAUGGAAUUAGCAUUCAAUGAUCAUAGACUUUCUGCAAUUUCAUUGACUUGUGAUCAGGGAGUCCUUAUUCUACGAUGAUUAUAAUCAAACACGCACACUGCAAGGCAACCUUCAAUUGACGUAUUCUGUCAACUAACUGGGGACAAGGGUCAUAAAAGGGUACGGGAGAGAAAGCAUGAGUCUAUGCACAGUUCCGGUUUUGCUAGUUGAUGGAACAUGGAGGAUGUGUGUUAAUGUUAACCAAUAGUCAAGUUUAUUGAAAAAAGUAAGUGAGAGAAUAUUACAUGUUGAUACAUGUUAUCUGAUUGUGACUUUAGUACCGUCCAAAGAAAUUGAAAUGUGAAAUAAUUGAAGAUGCAAAAUGGUUGAUUUCACGGGCCUGGCCUUUGGCAAAGUGAAAUGUUAGCCACACACUUUACCAGUCAAGUGUCAACAUUUGUAGCAUAAGGAAAUUGCGGCAUCUUAGCUGGAUUUUGAGGGUCGCUAUAGUGGGCUCACAAAUAUUUAACAUAAUUUUGAUAAUUACUUAAACCUCGUUUCCUUGAUAAUUAAAGAAAAAGAGAAGUGAAUGAAGUAAAAGAUAUUGAUGACCGUAAUUAUGCAAAUAAAUACAAGACUUUACAGUAGAUUAGACCACCAAUUGUGCUUUUUCGUCUAAUAAUAAUGCAUCUGCUUUAACAAGAUACGAGUGAACUCAGGCUUAUCUUUCUUUCGCAAUGUAAAUUCUUGCCAAAAAAUACAUGUUAUCUACUGGUGAAUUAGUUUGAUAAAAUAAAGGCUUAAAGUUUAGUUGAGUAAAAUGUUGACGUAAAGAAAUUAGCUACUGGAAAAUCACCAAAUGCUUGUUAAGGUAAUAUACAAUUGCAAUUGAACAUCAAGUGAUGGAAACAUCAAAAACCCCAUAAAAAAUUAAACAAAACCAGUUGCAAUGCGAAUAAACAAGUUUUCAGUUGAGAUGGCAGAACUAAUUCCUUCACAAUCAAGUGUGAUUUCUCAAUUUGUUCUAUUUGCCCAAAAAGACAUGGUCAAGUAUUUGAAAGCAUUUUUAUUUAGUUGACUAUUCGAGUUUGAAUUUAGAAUAAGAGGUUAAAAAAUAAGUUUUGUCUUUACUCACCCCCUUUAGAAAAAAAAUUUUAAUUUUUUAUCAAGCUGCCUUAAAUGCAUCAUGUGCAAAUCACGUGACAUCCUGAGUUACCAUAUAAUUUGGCUUUAUAAGUGUUUUCUGUUUCUGAAAACGAAAAAUAAUAAAAUGGAAAUGCCUUUAGCUUUUGGCUAGACAUUUUCAGAUACGUUUUUCGUGAUUAUUUCAAACUUCCAACAUACCACAAAUUAUUUUUAGAGCCCGCAUGUUGGAUUGUCUCAUUUAAGUUUCGCUUGGAUUUUUAGCACAUCAUUCAAAUAAGUUGCUAUCGUAUAUCUAGCUAGUUUUGAACAAAGUCAGUGAGAAUAUUACAUCUGCUUUAGCAAGAAAUGAGUGAAUUAAAACAUUUGACCAGAUUCAAGAGAGAAAAGAAUGUUGAAAUAUUGACUUGAAUAUUAUGGUAAAAUGAGUUUGACUUUAGUACCGACCAAAGAAAUAACUGAAGAUGCAAAUUAAUUGGUUAGUUUGAGGUGCAUGGCUAUUGGCAAAGUGAAAUGUUAGCUUCACACUUCACUUGUGAACGUACAACAACAUUUGCUGCAUAACGAAAUUGCAGCGUCUCAGCCGGAUUAUGAGAGUUGUUUUCAAAUCCCAUUUCUUUUCUUUGUAACCUUUUUUUUUUUUCCGCAGCUCACGUGAUCACCAUAAUUUUGAUAACUACUCAAACGCGUUUCCGCAAUAACUAACGAAAGGAAAAGCGAAUGAAUAAGCAAGAGAUACUGAUGACAGUAAUCAUGUAAAUGAAUACAAGGCUUUACAAUAGAUUAGACCGCCAAUUUGUGCCUUUUGAAUGCAUCUGCUUCAACAAGAUACCAGUGAAUUGAGGCAUAUCUUUCUUUCACAUGUAAUCUGCUGGUGAAAUAAUUUUUAUAAAACAUAGGCUUAAAGUUAAAGCUGAUUAAAAUAUUGGCGUACGUCAAGAACGCUACAGGGAACAUUCAACCGUGAGCUGCAGUCUGCAGUCCCCAACAAUCCGGGAAAAGGUUGAGGAGGCGCGCGCCUGCACAUUAAUUUGGGAGGUCUGAUGGGAUUUAUAAAUUAAAAUAAUGUAAUUUUAUAUAUUUUUUAAAUGAAAAAUUUGUUGAUGCCGCUGUGCGAUCCAUUGGAUCCUCGCGUGCUGGCCCCACAGAAGUUUCUCCCUAACAAUCUCCAUAAAAGCUCUUUAUAAUCCAUUUUUGAUAAAAGUAUACAUAUAUUUAUUCAAAUAUUAGUAAAAAUAUCUAUAAUGCUGAUUUUUAAAUUAUACUUAAUAGACAUUUAGACCGAGCUGUAAAUCUAUGAAUUCAAACUUCGACAAAUAAACCACAAAUUAUUUUGAUCCCGUAUGUUGGAUUGUCUCCUUUAAGGCUAUGUUUACUAAAGCGGAAUGAGAAUCGAAAUAGAGAAAUCAGAAUGAAUAACUUGUUUACUUAUUAAAUUGAUGAUAGGAAUGGGAAUAAGGUGAGUAGGCUCCAAGGUCUUGAAGAGGAAAGACCUUCCUUAUGUUCAAAAUUAACCCAAUUUGCUUUCUAACUUCCUUAUGUUCAUUGAUUCUUUUGUUGUGCAGUAGUGCCCAGUGUUCUUGAUAUCACAAUCAUCACCCCAUAUGAAUGACAAGUUGUUCUCAAGGUAUACAUUUAUACUUAUUAUUAAUACUUUCCUGUUUUGCCCUCACCAGCUAUGAUUAGCAUAUUGUUUUUUAAAACAUUAUAAAUAUAAAUGAAUUAUUAAUUAAUUAUCCUUUUUUUAUGUUUGAUUGAAAUUUGCUCAAAGGGCAUCUCCACUGACAAGAUACUUGAGUAAUCAAAGUCCUUGUUUAAUAAUAAUUAGCAUAGAAUUACUACUAACAGUGGGCACGAGUUGCAUUGGUUCAGAAUCAAAUUGAACCGAUAAUUUUUACAUAAAAUGUAAAAUUCAACGACUAAGUUUUAUUUUUUUCAAUUUUAAACCGUAAAUUCCUUUCUAUUUUGUGGGUUUUUUUUUUUUAGUUUUUGAUUGUUUUUAUACAAGCCAUUUGAUUAUUUUAAUUUUUUAAAACUGAAUCUAACCGCCGAUCCGAUUCAAAAUUUUCAAGAGUAACGGUUUUGCUCCAUCCAAAUUACCACGUACUUACUUACCAUCUGCCUCAGCGACGUGCUUGAGCGCCUGUGUCCGACACUUUUGAUAAUUCAUCUGUACCUUCAUCACAAUCUUCUGCUGCAAUAUUAUAUAUAAUUAUUAAAUCAGUUAAUAAUUAGUGCAUACAUGCAUUGACAUUACAUUAACUACAGCGAUCAAACAAUUAAAGAAAUUAAGAAGACGUACCUUCAUUUUCUUAAUUAAUUUCCGAUCGAUCAAGUAAGGAGCAAUUUUAUAAUCUGGAAUGAUGUUUACAAUUUGGAAAUUUGAAAAAAAAAAAAAAAACACUAACAGCAGAACUACACAUAUCAAAGACCAAUUGAGGACCGAGAUUGAAUGAUAGAGUAGAGGUUGUUACUCUAUCAUAGUAUAAGCAUUUUGGUAAUCCUUAACAUACGUGUUUUGCAGUAAUAAAAAGAAUAAUAUGUUAUCUAUUGCCGGUAUUGAUUUUAUGAUUGCAAAUUUGUCAUUUCCUGACGUCGGUGGCCGAAGUCUCAGCAUACAUCACUCGAGACAGAAGCUGAUUAUGAAGGAAUUAAAUGCCCAAGAUCUUGCGAUAUUGCAUCUUGUUCCUCCAACCCUGUGAUCAUCAUUCAUCAUAUGGCCGUAUUCAAGAUCUCAUUACUUUAGUACGAAAUUAAUAUAUUUCUCCAUGAUAGCAACUUCUUAAUUGUUAGCUGGACAGCUUCGGUAUUGUUUGUGCCACUGAUAAUUAGCAAAUUAAUCAAUACAUUAACAGUAACGUGGGAGUGUUCAUUGGCUUAUGUUUUACAAGAAAAAAGUAAUUAGAGCCUCGUUACAUCACAUCACCGAAAGAUGAUUUACUUAGCUUUGACUAACAAAAUGGAUUAACAAUGAUUCAUCUUCAGCCCCGUGUUUGCUCUACAAAUCGAUGUACGUAGUGACAGAUCUACUGUACGAAUUCAUCAAUAAUAUAUGAUUUCUUUUUGAUACCGACGUAUACCCAUAAGUGGUGUACUCUUAUUUAGAUGAAAAAUUUACUAAAAUAAAUCUGGGUUAAUGUAAUUUGGGUGACACAUUUUUCGAUAAAAUAUAAAAGAAGUGAUAAUUUUUUUUAAAAAAAAGGUAAUGGGAUGACAAAUUAUUAGUUUUAAUGAAAUUGGUUGUCUUAUGAUGAAAAUACGUUUUUGUCCCUGUAACCUUCUUUUAAUAUUACGAUAAUGUUCUUAAUUGCUUAUUUAUUUACAUCCCAUAUGAAAAAAAAAAAGAGAACAAAAUUCAACUCAUACAAAAAUAAUAUUAUUAAAAUAAAUUUAACAAUGUAUACAUUUUAAAAUAAUUUCCAUAUGCAUAUAUGCUUGGUGAUGUUACAAACAAUUAGUAUGAAGAAAUUCAAUUUGCAGCCGAAGUACACAGUUGGUUUGGAAUAGCCUGUCGGGGCUUAGUUGAUUGUUUUUCAAGUAAUUUUUUUUUUCGGUUGACCAUAGAAUUUAAAUCUAGGAGAGAGAGAAGACAAAAGUAUCAAUUUAGAUUUUACCUACUCACUCAUUUUAAAGAAAUAUUUGGGGAAAAAGAAAAUAAUGCAGUUGCUUCCACUAGAAAAAUUAGUAAAAUAAAUGGUGAUACAGAAUGUGCCAAAAUAAAAACAGAUGCAACAUGAUGCAUAUAUUUACACAUAUAAGCAAAAAUGCUCAUCAAGGCUAUCAUAACAUGAAGCAAUUUUGCCAAUUGACAUAUAAAAUAAAAACAGAUGCAACAUGAUACAUAUAUUUACAAUUUUGAGGCGAACAAACAAUAUAUGUAUUACAAAAUAUAUAUACUGAAACCAUGUUUGCUCAGAAUGGUUGAAGGUAGGUGAAGCUCUCUCGUGUCAAAUUUUCUGAAUUAGAAAAUCUCGGGGUUUUUAAUUAAAUACCCUUUAAUAGUUUCAAAAUUAUUUAAAUACCCCCUUCUUUUUUUAUUUUCAUGGAUACCCUAACAAAUGUGAGCAAAGUCGGAAAUACCCUUAAUGAAUGCAUCAAAUUCACUCAAUGAAUUGUCUUCAUAUUUCUUUCCUCAUUUCUUUUACCCAAAUCUAUUUUUGCUGCCGAUUCUUUCAAAAUCUCUUAAAAUCUCUCAAAAUCUCUCAUAACUUCUUACACAAAUACAAUUAUGUAUUCAUUUCUUUAACACCCACUCUUUCUUUAAAGGUGCAUUGCUUAUUAAACAACCCAAUAAGGUAUGUUAAUGUUGUUGGGUUUUAAAUUUUUUAUUUUUAGGAAAAUUUAAAAAUUUUCCUCACAUUACAAUGUUUUAUUUUCACCAUUUUUUCUUAUACGUAGAAAUAUAUGCAAUGUAGGUUGUUUAAUUAUUUUUUUCAGCAAUAUAACUUAUUUAUGGUGAAAAUGUUUCGAGUCAUGCAUUCUUUUGAUACCGUGUACGUCAUAUAGUUAGUCAUGUAGGUCGUGUAAGUAAUAUAGUCGUGUAAGUCGUGUAGGUCAUGUAAGAAAUAUAGUCGUGUAGGUCAUGUAAGAAAUAUAGUCGUGUAGGUCAUGUAAGAAAUAUAGUCGUGUAAGUAGUGUAAGUAAUAUAGUCGUGUAGGUCAUGUAGGUCAUGUAGUUACUUGUAUAUGAAAUUUAAUAUUAUUGUUUUUAUUGUAUCAUCAGAUAUGAUUUUGGUACGUGUGCCUAUUCUCUUCAAUGGUGAAUGGAUUGAGCAAAAUAACGAGUAUAAGUUCAAAGGUUCAAAGGCUAAAGGGAUAAUGAUACCACGAUCGACAACAUAUGCCGAAUUGGUGGAGAAGAUAGCUGAAGUUAUUGAUAUAGAUACUUCGGAAUUUGAAAUCACAAUGAAGUUCAAACUUAAGACAUCUGAUCCUAUGCCACCAGUUACAAUUCAAACCAAUGAUGAUGUGGAAUUUUUUUAUAUUCCAAUUUAAUUUCACUUCUUUUUUUUAAUAAUUUUCGUUGACAUUUUCUACAUAGCAGCAAAUAUAAAUUCUUAGCACAAAUUAAGUCUUUAAAGAACUAAAUUAAUCUAAUGAUUAAUGGAAAAAUUCGUGUAAUUUUAAAGUCGCAAUUAAACAUAUUACAGCCAUUUAAAAAGUUUUUUUUUUUUUUUAUCUUCAAAGUGCUUUCUUCCUUUGGCUAAGCAUACAAGCAUACAUGAGGAAUGCCUGCAUAUAAUUAAUCCAUGAAAUCAAUUAAGAAAAAAAAAAUAUCAACUAUAGGAAAUUAAUGUAAUGUUAUACACAUAAGAACACCAUUCGCAGUGAUAAAAUAUUUCCACUCAUAACUAGACAUAUCAUGACUUACCAUGGCUUAUAAUUGGAAAUUAAGAAUCUCUCUAACUAAUGACAUUUCACAAGGUAAAGGUAUAUGCACCAUUCCAAUUUAUUGUGAGCCUUAUUAAACUAAAUGUAAUGUGUAGAUUCUAUUGACAAGAAACAAAAUGUGGAAUUGAAGGUCGUGUAAUUGUGUAAUACAAGAAGAUCGUGUAAUUGUAUAAUACAUGAAGGUCGUAUAAAUGUGUAAUACAUGAAGGUCGUGUAAUCGUGCAAUACAUGAAUGUCGUGUAAUCGUGCAAUACAUGAAGGUCGUGUAAUACAUAACCUUACACGACCAAAUCUUGUGUUACAUAACAAAAUUAUAAUCAGCACAAUUCAUUAAUUUUUCACAAUUUGCAUGCAGCAAAACAACUAGAAAUUUGUUUUCGAACAUGUUAUGAGAGACCUACAACUAAUUAAUCUAUUUUUUCAAUAUAAAACCCUAACUUUUUAUUUUUUUCCCUUGAAUAUUAACUAGAAAACUAAUUACAUGGAAUUACUUGUCUCAACUAGUUAUAUUCUGACAAUUUUGUAGUAAAUGAUCAACUCUCUCCGGCGAUUAUGUAGUGACGAACUAUGCUUCACUUUCUCAGUUGUGGCAGCUUCCCCUUCUCAGGCUUAGUUUGCUCGUGUUGAAGUUCGAUUUACCAUGUAUGGAGAAUGAAUGUUUGUUUCAGUAGAGGUGAUGCCAGUGAGGGAAUUGCAGAGGUGAUGCCGGUGAGGGAAUUGCAGUGUUUGUUUGUUUGAGUUUGAUAAUGGAGGGAAUUGCAACAGAUGAGUGUUUGUUUGCUUCACUAGAGAAGGGAGAGGUGCUGUCCGUUGAGUUGAAAUGUUUUAAAAUGAGGAUAGCUUAGUAAUUUUCUAUCAGUUUUUAAAGGAUAUCGAUAAAAAUUUUGGCAAAAACAGAUUUUAGGGUAUUGAGAUAAUUUUUGAAGUAUGGAGGUGUACCGGGCGCAAUUGGCACGAAAAUCUCAUGCAUGUGGAUGUGGGUCUCAUUUUAUUUGUUAUUUUUAAAUAUUAACAUUUAGAUCUUUUUAGUUGUGCAUUCAUUGCCAUACUAUUUUAGUAAACUAUAUUCAUUUUAUUGUAUUUUUUUAAGAAUUUUUUAAUUCGAAAUAAUUUUUUUAAUAUUGUUGAAAAAGACAGGUUAAAGUAAAAAAAUUAUUGACUAAAUAAAUAAAUAAAUGACAUUAUUUUAUUUUUUAACAUUAAAAAAAAACCAAUUUGUUGUAGUCCACUUAGGAUGUGUUUGAGAAUGAGGUGUUAUAUUUUAAGCUGCUAAAGUAAAAAUUAUAGCUGUGGAGUAAAAAUUAAAAAAAAAAUCUGUUAAACUACCAAAAUCCAACUACAAAUAUUACCAAACACCGUAAAACCCAAUUAACUCACCACAUUACCAAACGUACCAAACGGCCUUAGUCCUGCAACACUUGGAACGUUACCAAGCUUUUUAGAGCUGUACAUUUUGGACUCAGCUGUCCUUGUCAUUUCAAGUAAAAGUUGAAGCUGUCUCAAAAGUAAAAUAAUAACGUGCAUUUAAGUAACUGGCCUAAACUUCAGAAAUUUCAGAAGUUACAGUAUACGCAGGUCACAUCUAGGGCCAUUAUUAUUUAUUAGUUUAAUCAUUAAAUGACAAAAUUUUGCCAAUCUUGAGGGGGCUACUUAAAAAUGCAAGCAUCUCGUCCCUUGCCUGCUUCAUAGAUGCUCUUACUCACCCCCCCCCCCCCGUCAUCUCACUUGUGCAAACCAAAGAAAAAAGAAAGAUUAUUAUUUUCCAUUUAUUACACAAAAAACAAUAAUUCCUUUUUAUUGCUCCAUGUUUAUUAUUUUAUUCUAUUUCUCCAGAAUCUCUCUUUAUCAAUUAAAUUUAUGAUAUAGAUAUUGAAGAUUUGCUUCAAUCAGAAAACUUGUUCAUAUUUCUGGUCAAUAUAAUACAUCCCUUAAAAGGUAAAAAUAGGGAAAAAAAAAAACAAGAAUGAUGAUUUUUUUUUUUUUGGUUUUGACUGUUCUAGACAAUAAAGAAAUAUUUUGAAAGGGUCGGAGAUUACAAUGAAUCUAUACACUUGUGGAAAUUUUUUUAAGGCAUAAAUAAGUGCAACUUGAGAGCAUUUUGUUUUUUGUUCCACUAUAUAUUUUUAUACAACUGCCGCCUUAGAUUGGGUGCAUCACUUCAUUAUAUAAUCAAUAAAAAUUAAUUAUAUAAAUGGAAUCAUUCUCUAUUAUAAUUAUUCGACUUCAUGAAGUAACAACUGAUGUUUUUUACCACAUUGUCAAAAGAGUUCAACUUUUAUUUGAGAAUACACCAUAUAAAAGAACAAAUAAAAAUAAAACAAGAGUACAACAUAGAAAAGAAAAAAAUAAAACAAGUUUUAGAAUUAGUAGAUUAGAAUUGUUAUAAGAAAGAGUUGUCCCUAUAACUUCAAUAAGCUAGCCAUGUUUCUUAAACUUGUUUUACUAGCCUUACCAAACUUUUUCUAGUUGAUAUUCAAUUUUUUUUAAUUUUUUUUUUCUAGUCAAGCAUACUUAAUUGAACAGUCAAUUCAACAUGAAAACGAUUUGUCGCUUUACGAUCCUAAUUUUUAACCAGCCGUAAAUUUUAAUCUAUUAAAAAAAAUUAGUUGGUGGAAAUGUAAACAGAAGCAAGAAGGUUAGAAUUAAUAACUUUAUCAUGAAUAAUUAAUAUAAUUAGAAUUUAAUAAAACUAUAUGUAAAAGCUUAUUUCAAGAGCGAAAAUUUUAUUUUUUAUCAUUUUUUAGUGCUUAUAAUUAUAAUUUAAUCUAGAAGUAUUUUAAUUAUAAAAAAUAUUUUUAAAAAUAAGUUUGACGAAUAGUUUAGUGCUUAUAAUUAUUUUCUACUUAUAAUUAAGUUAAUAUUUAAUAGAAAGAACUAAAAUAAUAAAAGCAAAAACCUUUGCCCGGCAAUUCCUUGUUAUUUACAUUUUUGGCGCUGUCCUUGACAGAGGACUACACCGAGGAAUCUCAGGCCGCGGCACACGUGCGGCGGCUUCUCGACAUCGUCGCGUGCACCACACGGUUCGCCAAGUCCAGAAACUCCCGAUUGCCGCCAUCGUCAGAGUCAUGUGCCAAAAAGAACGGCAGUAGGCCCCACCAGCCUUCACCAAACUCUGCCGCUCUGUCUGAUGGAGCAGCAACAGCAGCAGCAGAUAACCGAAGCGGGCCCCGCGCCACGUCAUCGCCAGUUUCAUCGGCGGUUUCUCCGAGUCUGGACAUGGCGGCCAUUCACCCGACGCCGAAACUCUCCGAGUUUUAUGACUUCUUCUCUUUCUCUCACCUCACUCCCCCCGUCUUAAGUAAGCGUAAUGUUCAUUUAUUUAUUUGUCUUCGUUUCUUACAUGGUUGAUCAAAAAAAAAGAAAAAAAAAGAAAGAGGAAAAUGAUAUAAAUAUAUGUGAUUUAUUUGAAUAUGAAAUUUGUUUAUUGAUUUUAAUUUUUAAUAAUUUUGAUUUUGAAGAUUUGAGAAAAUGUGAACGCAAAGAAGGAGACAAGUGCGACGGUGAUUAUUUUGAAAUUCAGGUGCCAUUUAAUAUAAAGUUCUGAUUAUUGUUGUUUGUUGUUUAUGGACUAAUUAAUUGUAGAGUUAUUCAACUUGUUAUUUUUGCUGAUGAAUUGGCCAAUGAGUGUUAAAGAUUUAAUAAUCAUUGUCUGCUAAUUAAUAAGAAUGCAUGGAUUAUUUUCAUGUCUUUGUAAGUAAUGUGAGUAUUUGAAAGUGCGGGAAACUGUAUUUUGUGCUUACAGAUAAAAAUCUGCAAUGGAAAGCUUAUACAAGUAGUUGCAUCAGUAAAAGGGUUCUAUACUUUGGGAAAGCAGUUUUUCCAAAGCAACUCCCUGGUGGAUCUUCUGCAAAAUCUCAGUCGAGCUUUUGCCAAUGUGGGUACUCAAUAGUUGAAUCUACAGAUUAUUUUUUUCUUUUUUAUCUGAAUGCAUCUUUUUUUCCUCCGUAAAUUCAAUUAGCUUACCCAUCAAUUGUUUUGUUAAUAAUUAUGGUCAUUAUGCGUGAUGCAGGCAUAUGAAUCCCUAAUGAAAGCUUUUGUUGAACAUAAUAAGGUAACAAUUUCUGUGCUGACAUAGUUUAUUACCAAUUCAAAUGUGAUUUUAACUUGAUUUUACUGAUAUAGUAUAUUCAAUAUCCUUCUUCAGUUUGGUAAUCUUCCCUAUGGAUUUCGAGCUAAUACAUGGCUUGUACCUCCAUCUGUUGCUGAGUCUCCAUCAAAUUUCCCUUGCCUACCGGCAGAAGAUGAGAAUUGGGGUGGCAAUGGCGGAGGCCAGGGAAGAGAUGGAGAACAUGAUUUACGACCAUGGGCGACGGAAUUUGCUAUACUGGCUAGGCUUCCUUGCAAAACUGAAGAGGAGAGGGUGGUUAGAGAUCGGAAGGCCUUUUUGCUUCAUAACCAAUUUGUUGAUGUCUCAAUUUUUAAAGCUGUUGGAGCAAUACGCCGUCUCAUUGGUUCAAAUUUACACACUCAAGAUACAAUCAAUGUCCAAAAGGGGGCAAUCUUGCAUGAAGAUCGUGUGGGAGACUUGUCCAUUACAGUAAAACGUGAUACAGUAGAUGCAAGCUUGAUGUCUGAGGUUACUAUUAAAGGAAAUCAGUCAUCUGGUAUGUCUGCUGCAGAAGUUGCUCAAAAGAAUUUACUAAAAGGUGUUACUGCAGAUGAGAGUGUAGUUGUUCACGUAAGUCGAUUUCUCCUUUACUUUUUAUGCUUAUGUUCACAGAACACACAUAAAAGACAUUCAUCAAAGCCGAAAUUACUUGCGUGGGCGGAAUAAUAUAGCUCUACCUUUGUCAGGGAGUGAUUUUUCAGUCGGAUUAGGAUGUUUCCCUCUUUAUCUGAUAUCUGGCAUUUGAUGAUGGCCUAAAAUACCCAUCCUCUUCACUCUCUCUUUCUACACAUUUAUGAAUGCACAAGAAAGUCAAUUUUAGGUUCUUUCGUGAGAAUCACUACUCAUUACUAACCUUAUAUAUCUGGUUUAGCUUCAUGAAUCUUAUGUUGCCUUUCUGUUUGGUGACUCCCUAUUCUGUUGAAAUCACUUGAUAGCAGGUCUUUCUACUGAUUUUAUCCAUAUCCCUCUGAUUUUCUGCUCGUAGUUUGAUCCAGCUUAAUGUCUUGGGGAAGCCUAUUAACCUUGGUUGGGCAUGCUUGUAUUAUAUCAACUAGUGGUGCAAUUGCUAAAGUUUUCAGCAUGGUAGAUCUUGAAAUAUCCAGAUUUAUUUUUGUCAAAAUAUCUAGAUUUAUCUUCCUUUUCUUUUUCCCUUUCUUUUAUUUUAGUUUCAAAGAUUUUGUGAUAAAGAGAACUGAAACAAUAUAGUUUUUGGCAGGAUACCUCCUCAUUGGGUACUGUCAUUGUAAGACACUGUGGAUACACCGCUGUAGUAAAGGUUGUUGGUGAUGUGAAGGAGAAGUUUGGCACACAAGAUAUUGAAAUUGAAGAUCAACCUGAUGGAGGAGCUAAUUCUCUUAAUAUUAACAGGUUUGAAAUUGUAACACAAUGCUUCCUCUGUCGAUUCGUCUUAGCACACAAAGACUAGGAAAUCUACAGAUGGAGAAUGGCUGUAAGAUAUGAAAAAUUAUCUUUCAACCACUAACAUUUUUAAGCUAUUCUGCAAGAUAUCUUAGACAUACUAACUGGUAUGAGCUUCUUUGCUUAGUGUCUAUCACAGUUGAAUUCAUGAUGCAGAGCAUUGUUAUUCUCUUUAUUUUUACCAGAUAGAACAGGAUUGAAAUGGUGGUGUUGGGGAUUCUUAAGGAUAGCACCUGCUCCUUUUUCUUUCUGUUUAGAUGGGAUCUAAUCAGUAGAUGUCUGAACUCUUAAGGGGAGUUGAUGUCAGAUUUCUAAACCAGGUUUUCUUCAAGUGUUAAGUUUAUGAAUAGGCCAAAGAAAAGAAAGCUGAUAUCUAGUUAGGGAUAUAUACUCCUCUUUCAGUAUCCUGUGGACCAGAAAAUGGCUUUUCCUAUAUUAAAAUAUGUGUGAGAUCCUUCACUGUAUGGGGAUGCUUCACCUCUGCAUAGUUGUAGACCACCUAAAUAAUAACGAGUGGUUGCAGGAAACAUUAAGUCAUGGCUUUCACAAUAAUGGUUGAGUGUUUAUAGUUAUGUGCCCUGACAUUGGUUUGUAAUUGUUAUAUUAACAAAAUAACCAACAGACAUCGUUGACGAUGUUCAAAUAAAGGAUAAAGGAAAGUAUAAUUACAGUGCAUGCUCAGUUGCUGAAAUAGGUCAUCAGCUUUUUAGAUUGUGCUAUUUCAGAAAGUAUUUAGGCCUUCUUUGGUGGAUUCUGCCUUUGUUUCAUAUACUCUUAUGUCUUUCUCCAUUUAAGUUGUUCUGACAGGGUAAACUAUUUAUUGCAGCUUAAGGCUUGUGCUUCAAAAGUCUUUCAGUGCUGAAUCAGCUAGAGGAGACCAGUCAACUCUGUGCAAUUUGGAUAAUUCAGAAGCUUUUAGAAGUCUUGUAAGAAGAGUUUUUAAACAGAGUUUAGCAAAGUUAGAGCUGGAGCCAACUGCUUCAGAAAGAUCUAUUAGAUGGGAACUUGGUUCUUGUUGGGUGCAGCAUCUACAAAAGCACGAAACUCCAACAGAUACCAAGUCAACGAGGUCUGGGGAUGAUAUUAAGACUGAACAUGCUGUCAAAGGUCUUGGGAAGCAAUUUAAAUUUUUGAAGAAGAGGGAGAACAUACCUAACCUUGUUGGUAGCAUUAAUGAGGCUAACGAAAAUGACAAUGGACCAGCAUGAAUAUGGGAGGUAAUGGUAGACAGCAAAGCAAUGGCGAGCUGAAUUGUGAGAUGGAAUUGAAAACACUAAUUUCUGAAGAAUCCUUCUUGCGAUUGAAAGAAACUGGCACUGGUCUUCAUUCAAAGGUUUCAGAAUCUCAAAUUUGUUUUGCAUUUCAACUGUAAAGUUUGCUACUUUUUGUGUUUUCAUUACGCUAAAUUUGGUUUGUUUUAUUUUCAUAUGGAAUGACUGGUAAAAUUAAUUUCUUGUGCAGGCAGUGGAUGAGCUUAUGAAAAUGGCAUACAAGUAUUUAUGAUGCGAGAACUAGUCAAGGUAUGCUUGCAGAACCUGCUGUACCUUCGGCUGCUGCUAGAGUUCCUUGUGGGCCAAGGUCGCCUCUCUAUUAUAGAAAUAAUUAUUCUUACAUUAUGAAACAUGGAUUUCCAAAAUACCACUCUUCCAUUAUGGAAAGAAACCUGUUGGGGCCUUCAAGAAUCAUGAACCCGCAUGCACCCGAGUUUGUGCCAAUGAGAGGUUGGCAAAUAAAUCCUGGAUAUGCAGAUUCAAAUGUUUCAAAUGGGUCGAACUCUUCAAAUGACACAAGUGAGGCAGACGAUGAGAAACUUGACAAAAUGUCCAGUAUUCAAGGCGAGGAUAAUAC